rnacentral:lncRNA from 1 species
CCAAGAGGAGGAAUAGAAAUGUAUCAUAUCCUAAAUAGAACCUAAGUUCUUCCAUUUAUCCUACAAAUCCUCACAUUCCUCUUUCUCCAAACUAUGCAUAACUAGGCAAGCCCCACUCACCAAAGUACCACUCUAAGAGUAUUCUCAAACCUGCUAAAAGAGAUAAUCACAUAUCGUGCCAAAGGCUCAAAGUCACCACAUAAUGCACAAAAAAAAAAAAAAAAGUGAUCAAUUGGAUCUUAACUUCUUCGACGCAAAACAUAGAAAUUCCAGGUUGAAAGCUUUGAAAGACGUUACUGAUGGCAAAUUGUUAGUGUUGACUUUAUCAUUGGCCACUAACCAUGUAGAAGCCUAAACUUUAGAUUUCCAAAUGACUCUAUCUUGAGAACCUUCAUAGCCAUUUCACUAAGAGUGCUCUAUUCCUCAAACAAAUUUUCCUUGAACUCAACUUUCCUUCCCCUUUUGACUAACUCACUUGGUACCAACUAAUGAAUGGAUCCCUCUUUAGUCCUUCCUUCUCCAACUCCAAAAGAAAGAAUCUAUUUGUAGUUUCUCAAUCCUAAAUGCCACCAUAGCUUCUCAAUCCUACAAAAAGAUUAUUUUGCUGCCUUAGGGCAAGAAGACUUUCUUCCAAUCAUCCAAUUCUCAAUAAAUCCUAUCAACUACCAGGUCCCAAAACAAAGCAACUCCAAUACCUAAAUACAAAACGGGUAAAUCUAAGACAUCACACCCUAGCAAGGUAGCCAAACUUGUGAUAUGAUCCUAACUCACAUUGACACCUAAAAGAGAGUUUUUCUCUAGAUUAAUCUUAAGACUUGAAAUGCAUCUACCAACAAAAUGAGUUUAAGACUUUGUAUAUCUUCUGUUCUAGCGCUUCAAAUAAAAUACAAUAUAAUCUAUGAACUACAAAUAGGAAAACUUAGUUCUACUUCUACCCACUAAAAAAAUCCUCUAAGAUGCCAUGUUGUUUAUCUCUUACCAAAGUUUACUCAAAACAUCAGCUAGAAUGGGAAAAAAUAAAGGUGAAAGUGGAUCUUCUUGUCUUAACCCUCUAGAAGCCUUAACCCAUUCUUUGGCACAACCAUUUUCUAAAACAACCCUUAAUCCAAUACCUCCAUUUGAACCAAAGCCUCUUUCUUUAUUUUUGAUAGGAAAACAAGAAUAUAUAGAAGACGCCAAUCAAAGAGAGGAGGGCUUAACCCAAGUAGACAAGAGAUAUAGAAACACCUCAAAUGAGCACACAAAACACCCUCUCACUAAAACUUAACCAAUCAAUAAAAUCUAACAAGAAUACAAGAUUAUCUUGAAUAUGUUGGUGAGUCCAAAGGAAAAGGGUACAAAUAAGAGUCUUUUAGUACAAGUAAGAUUGAAGUCUUUUCUUUCAAGGGCAUGGUCUAAAAAACCUCAAUCCAUAUUAUCGUAAGCCUUCUCAAAUUAAUCUUGAAAACUAUUUGCUCCUCAUUUGAGCACUUUUUCUUAUCCACUACUUCAUUUGCCACUAAAAUUGCAUCUAUAUUCCUUCAAUAAAAGCUCCUUAAGAAAUAUGGAUAGUCUCAUCAAGAAUCCCUCAAAUGUGGUGUUACAAAACCUUGGCAAUUAUCUUAUGAAGACUUGUACCAAACUAAUGGGUAUAAAAUUUUAUAUUCUAAUAGUUCAACUCCUUUUAGGAACAUGAGCUAUAAAAGUGGUAUCAAUACUACUUAUCAAAAAAAGAAAUAAAUAAAUAAAAGUGGUAUCAGUGCUAUCAUUUAGUAACCAGAUCCCAACACUAUUGAUACAAAACUAGGGGGAAAACAUUAAACCCCAGAGCUUUUUCCUUAUCAAAUUGGAAGACUAUUUCACAAACUUCCUUUUUUGAGAAGUGAAGAUCUGACUAAAUAGCCCUCUGUUCAAAAUUAAAAAGAAACUAUGACACAUAAUAAUAAAUUGAACUCCUAAUUAGAGAGUAAUUAUAAUAUUUAAUCAACAAAAGAACAAAAAGAAAAGAAAACUUUCAUGAGCAUUGUUUUUGCAAGUAAUGCAUAUCAAAUGCAACCAAAGUUGGAUAAUCCACAAGCACAAGUAAUACAAAUGGACUUGCUGAAAAUCAGGAAGGCACUCACUGGAAUACAUGUUGGGAACAACUUUCAAUGUCACCUGUUAAAAUCAGUUGCCUAAGGUCAUAGACAUGCUUUCUUUGCACCUGAUAAAAGGGAAUCAAACAUUUAAUUCAAGCUGCUAAUGGAUGAAAAGUAGUUUGUUUUCUGAAUAAAGUAAAUAGUUCAAACAGUCUGGGUUUCAGAUAUAAAAAAAAAUGAAGCUUUUUUUCCAAAAAAUUCCAAUAAAUAAGAUAUUUAGAAAAGUCAAACAUCAAUGGUCUCUCUAACAAGUUCAAGUGCCUCGAAUUUAAGGAAGACGUGCUUCAAAACGGUUUUUACUUUGUGCAAAUUGAAGGACUUUAAAAUGCAUCAAACUAACCUGAGAUGUUUUUAGCAUGUUGUCAGAGAGAAACUUCAAAUUAGAUGAACUUAGCAAGCAACCAAGCACAAAUUUAUUUAUAACCCAAAACAAGUAGAUGAUUGGGUCAUCAUCAUAGUAACUGCGUCAAAUCAAGCUUUGUUAUUAUCAAAAGCAUACCUCUAAUACUUCAUCGAACUCAACCAAGCUCUUUCUUAUGCCAAAGAAGUACUUCUCCGCAUUGAUUUGAAGGGCCAAGAGCUAACAUUUUGCAAUGGUUAAAGAGAGUAGUAAGGAGAAAUUUUUAUAAAACACAGAUAUGUAAAAGGAAAGCAGAAAAGAAAUGGUCAUCUUGGACAUAAGCUUGAUCAGCACCUGUUUUACAAUUGCAUCACCUUCAAUUGGUAUAUCUUCAUCAUUUGUAAUCUUUGAUAUAAGUCUUACAGCCCACUCAGUAUCAAAAUUAAAUUUCUGAAACAUCUCAUCCUGCAAGCUGUCACAAAAAUAGAUCAUGUAAAUUUAGUUGAGGCAUCUCUCUCACAGGCCUCCCCCCCUUUUGACUGUGUUUUCCUUCUUGAAAAAUAACAAAAUUAGCCAAAAGAUAGAAGGGAGGAGAAAAAAACAAAGCACAAACCACCACAAUGGUAAAGGUAUUUGUUGCCAAAUGGUCAACAAGAACAUGGUUUACAAGCAAUUUUACAACAAUUGGCAUUUGGUUUACUGUAUUAUUGUUUCUUUUUCUUUUGGAUAGAAACCCUGUUCAUAUAGAAAAUGUUAUCUAACUACCCAACUAAAAACUGAGAGAAGAACCAUUAAAACUAACAGCCUUACUUUCCUAUUUAAACUUCCCACCUGGUACCAUCUCAUAAUGAAGUUUAUAUACUUCACCCAUCUCUCUCCCAAAUAAAUAAAUACCAAAAGCAAAGACUCGUAAACUUUGCUGCUUUAGUCCAUUCUCUACCAGAUAAAACUGAUUCCUCAAAAUAUAAUGUUUUGAUUUUCAUUAAUUGCAAAAGAGGAUGAUGAACUAUAUCUCUGUGUCGUUUCCAAUCAAAAAAAAAAAAAAAAGAGGAUGAUGAACUUCUAUCAAAAAAAAGAGGAUGAUGAAUUAAGAACUGGGUUUUGAGAAAUACACAACAUAGAGGUGGCCACUAGCUUAAUAAGCAUCCGCAUGAUUGAUAGCUACUCAGUAUCGUAAUUCGUAACUUCAAAUAUGAUAUAUACAAAUAUGAUAGCUACUCACUAGCUUAAAACUCUGGUGAGUCACGUUGAGCCACAUUGAGCUACACUACUUUUAUAUAAGAAAAUUUUUUCCAAUGUGAUUUCAGAGAUAAGUGCUCAUCUUACACUCAGCUUAAAUGAGAUCAUUGAUCUGAAUAGUACCUCACCAUAAACCGUGUUGAUCCAGGAUCCCCUUGUCUGCCUGCUCUACCACGAAGCUGCAAAAAAGCAUUAUAACUUAGGGAUAAAAGCAUACAGAAUUGAUCAAUGAUUACCAAAAAACUCAAGUCUUAGAUCAACCGGACUAACAUGGUUAUAAGUUGACACAUCAUCUUUACUGAUGAAAGCAACAACCUCCAUGAGUGCUGACUCAAGGAAGAGUUUUUUUUUUCUGUUUUUUUUUUUUUUUUUUUUCCAAUAGGCAAAUGAAGAUUAUAUUAGCCUCCUCAAGGUAGCAUUAUGUCAACCAUUUGGGGGAGGCUGCACGUAUGUUAUUUCACCAUACCAUUCUAUCUUAUGGUUAUACUUUUUGAGUAUCUUAACUUCCAAGGAAGAAAAGAAAAAUUCAGGAUUCUUGUUUUUAAUGAUCUCUUUGAUGAUUCUGGCUGGUUUUAUGAAGGGAUUAGGGACAAAAUAGGUUGGGUUGCAUCAAAUAAUGAAGGCAAUAUGUGAAAAAGAGAAGCAGCACAAAUUAGCCAUAGCAAAUUACUAACAACCAACUCUAUAAACAGGUUGUGUUGCUUCAAAUAAUUUUUUUUUUUUUUCUUUGAUAGGUGUUGAGUUGCUUCAAAUAACAAAGCCAAUAUGUGAAAAUGAGAAGCGGCACAAAUUAAUCAAAGCAAAUUAAAAAGAAUCACGUCUAAACAGGUUGAGUUGCAUCAAAUACUGAAGAUGAUAUGUGAAAAUGAAAAGCAGCACAAAUUAAUCAUAGAAACCUACUAUGAAUCAAAUCUAAACAGGUUGAGUCGCACCCAAUAAUAAAGGCAAUAUGUGAAAAUGAGAAGCAGCACAAAUCAAUCAAAGCAAAUUACAAAGAAUCACGUCUAAACAGGUUGAGUUGCAUCAAAUACUGAAGAUGAUAUGUGAAAAUGAAAAGCAGCACAAAUUAAUCAUAGAAACCUGCUAUGAAUCAAAUCUAAACAGGUUGAGUCGCACCCAAAAAUAAAGGCAAUAUGUGAAAAUGAGAAGCAGCAGAGAUUAAUUAAAACAAAUUACUAAGAAUCAAAUCUUCAAGGGGUAAUACUCAAGAGAUGCCAUUCCACAUAUUCCUUCAUUUAUCUACUUGUAUAUUAUUAUAUAAUGAGAAUCAACCCUUCAGCAUUUUCUAUUAAUAUGGCACUGGGCAACGAGAAAUUGUAAACAAUGCAUUGCAGGAAGUUGUACCAAACAAUUUUUCUUCAAAAUACUAAGAAAACAUCCAAAAAGGUAUAUCUAUCUAGAAACAGGAGCACCAAUGAAUGGAAACACCUCUGACAGAUUCAGCAAAAUGCUUAGUAGCAGGGAAAACAUGAUCUCCACAUCAAACCAAUUGAUGUAUUGACAAGUCAGCUAAAAAAUAUGACACGAUUGCCUUCAGUAGACAUGCUUCACUAAAACAAACCUAAAGGAACCUAACAGCACAUACAAAUCCUGAUUAGGCCUGAACUUCAAAGAAGGGAUUGAUCUACCGAAGGCGGCGUCCGUGAUGAACUUAAGUCUCAUUCAACUAUAAAAUCCUCUAUAAAAGGUUUCUUUCCCAACCAUUGGAUAUCUCUGGUUCAGAAUAUGAUAACGCUCCCAAAGUUGGAUAUGUUAGAUCCCUUGGUUAUCACUCAAAGAGCACCCUGAUGCUGCUCUGCCUCAAUUUCACUCUAUUGAGACAUUAGCCUUGAGUUUGUCACUUUGGAUAAGGAGGUUCCCAUGUAAGAAAAGUCAUCUUGGUUGACUGAGUUGUAGAUACCACCCGCAUUGUUCUUCACAACAAGGCCUUUUAAGAGUCAUGAGAGAUCCCCAUUUCUGGGAAAAGAAAGGUCAAAAGUAAGAUUGAUGGGGAGCCCUGUCCUCCAACCAUCCCCAGCUAAGAAUGUUCUGUCAUAGCCUUUCACUAAGACAGUAGUUUUAACAUAAGGAGUCAAUUUAGGCAGUGCUGUGAAACAAGUUUUCCCUCAAGAGGAGUUAUUAUUGUUUCAUAGGAAAGCUCUCUUAUUAGCAAAGGCAAUCUAGUGAUCUACAAUGACCUUUUACUCGGAUUGUCUACUUGAAAUAUUGAAUAUGUCAUCACUCAAAUGGUAUAUUUAAAAGGCCCUCAAAUAUCAAGUCUCUCAAAUUUUCCUUUCACCUCUUCAUACUCAUGCAUUUCAUGAGGUGUAAAUACAGAUAAUUAGAGCAUGUUUAAAACAGUCAAAAAAAAGAAAACACCCAAUAGAAAUUUUGGGUUAUUUAUUUUUGGAAAAUUGCUGCCAGAAAACAUUAGCAAUAAAAUAAAAUAAAAUAAUUAAAAAAAAAAAAGAUGUUUCCCUGAAACAAUAAAUUGAUGUUCUUUGCAGGCUUUGGAAACAUGUUCUCACAAUUUACUUAAAACACCAAUACAAUUGAAAAUGCAGAAGCUUUUAAAUGAGUUGAUGAUGUUCAUAAUCCAAGAUCUAACUACAUAAUGUCCUAGGAAGAGUGAAAAAGAUCUAGAAUAAUUAUAAGAUCAAGGUUUUAGAGAGAGAAGGAUACAAAAACAAUUAAAACUCAAAACAAUAUUUCAAAUGAUAUUUCAAACUUGAAAAGAGGUAUAAUGCCAUUAGAAUUCUGACCAUAUAUGAAAUUCAAGAUGGCAUUCCCCUAACUGUAAGAAACUUGUAGAUAUAUUAGCAGGACAGAUAAAAUGAAAAAAAAAAAAAAACUACCACACUGGAUAACAAUUAAAAACGGAAGACAGGAGGAAAAAGGAUGAGAAAAUAUCCCUUAACUCCUUGAUUUAAAGAAAAGGUUUUGUAAAAAAUACUAGGGCAUAGAAUCAACCCAUUUUUAUGUGCUCCUUUUUCUUAUGAUUCUCAUGACCAUUUAAUUUAUUAAAGGUGUGCACAAAUUUUCUCAAUCCCACACUUUUAAACAAACAUGAAACUUAAGCACAAGGUUCAAACAAGAAGCUAUAAAUCUCUUAAGGCUUAAAGUUGAUGGUUUGACGUCAAAAAUUACAGGAAAAAUAUAUAUAUAUAGAUAAGAGGUGAGGUAACAAAUUACAGGAUAUAUAUGUAUGUGUGUGUGUGUGUGCGCGCGCAUGCGUGUAUGUAUGUAUAAGAGGUACAUAAUUUCAAAGAACAAUGAUUCCCAGCAUAAGUAAAAACAUACUCUGCAAAAGAACUCCCUUCCUAAAAAGCCGGUUCACAUAUGUAUAUGGGAUCAAUUACAUAGGUUCAAUUGCAUGAAUCUUUUUUCACCAUUCAUCACAAGAAUCCAUUUUGACCAUUCAUGACUACAUAGAGACAUAUCUAACCAAAAAUUUUCAGGACUCAGUGUUUACAAGAUUUGUAAUCAUACAGUAGAGAGUCAGACUUCCAAGAUACACAUAAGUUAAAAGGGAAGCUCUUUGGCAUUGAAAAUUCUGGAACCAACUAUUAAAUACAUAAGGCUUCUGUAUUUAAUAUACAUUUUGAAACAAAAUAUGACCAAGACAACGGUGCGCUUCAAAAAGGAAAUUUAGGAGAUAAAAAACUAGCUAGAUAAGCUUAGAAUAUGAUAAAUAUUUUUUUGCUGUCAUUAUCAUUGAUGUGAUGAUAAUGACAACCAAAAUGACAGGCUCUGUGCUUUUAUGCGUGCAAAUUAAAGUAUUGACAAAGUUCUCUUAUAGCUACGAACGAUGUUUGUGAAAAAAGAGGUACCAAUCUAAUAGAUCCAUAAUGAGCUACAGAUACAGAUUUUACACACUCUGCAGUGCAUAUGGAUUUUGCAUUGCAAUUAGAACUCAUAUCAUGCUUAUCAGAUCUGAAGUAUUAUACCACUGAUUCUUACACAUAUACAUGCCUUAGAUAAUAAAUGACCUAAAUCUCUUCACUACAUGCAUCAAAUGGUUCAGGAGAAGAAAGUGAUUCCAAUGUGAGAUUUCAAACCAUGGAAGGCCCAGAAUGUAACAUUAGCAGUAACUUUGCACUUCUACUUAGUUUUAGGUUAUUGCUACGUCUGAACUUGUCAGUGCAUUCUCACCUGGUUAUCAAUCCUUCGAGAUUCAUGCAAGGAUGUGCCAAUCACAUGAAGCCCCCCAAGCCUUUUCACUUCGGAUCCUUCACUCAAGCAGUGUGCUUCACAAUCCUUCAAAACUGAUAGAUAAGCUAGUGCUAUAGUAGGGCCAAGAGGGUACAUCUCAGACUGUUCAUUAGCAAGCUUCUCUAGCUCUUUCCAAUCUAUGGACUGACUCAUUUCCACAGAUUCUGAGAUCAUAGAUUUUGCCUUUUGAUAUGUCCAGCUCUUACCCUCACCUUUGCUCACAUAUUUAGCUGUGUAAUUUAUUUUACAAUCACAAGAUUCUCAAAAAAAAUGAAUGAAGAAAAUUAAUUUCACAAAUUUAUAGUAUCUGAAAUGAGCUUUCAAUAAAAGAUGUCGAGAGUAGGGCCACUGACCCAUUAGGGCUGUCUUAGCUAGCAAAGCAAGUGAAGCAGAACCAAUCUUUAUCUUUGACAAUACCUGCACCAAAAGAAUGAUCAGAAACUAAAUAUAUUUGUUUUGGCAUCAAAUAAUAACCAAAUGUAAUCACCUUUUGAGAAGUUGGCUCGCCAUCAACUUCAACAUUGGGAGCUUCUUGAGUCAAGAAUGAAAGUAAGCUGUCUUCUAUAACUUCUUUUGCAAGCAUCUUGAAUAUUACAACCAUCAAAGUGUAAAAAAAUUGCUUGUAUAAGAAAAAUUGCCAAAAUAUUAAAGCACAAAAGAUAAUGAUGAACUUCUCAUAUAUACAUAUAUAUCAAAGGAAUGCUCUCUCUCUCUCUCUCUCUCUAUACAUAUAUAUCAAAGGAAUAUUCCAAAGAGAGAAAAAUGCAAAUUAGUAAAAUAAUGAUUUUAUGGUUGGAAACAAUAUCAUCUAACCCUCAAAGCAUUACCCAGAAAUUGCAAAGGGCACUGCAAUCCAUUUGUUUUAAAGCAACUAAAAUAAGUCAUCCAAUAGGUACACCUACUUUUGGAUUUCCUCCUAGGAUUAUGUCAGUGCCUCUGCCAGCCAUAUUUGUAGAAAUGGUGAUAGCAAAUUUCCGCCCUGCUUGAGCAACAAUUUCAGCCUCCCUUGCAGCAUACUGAAACAACAGAAAAGCAAGAUGGUGAAAAGAAUAUAUGUGUGUGCACAAACACAUAAAGAUACUAUAAGUAGCAUCACAGGGGCAUUGCCCCCCUCAAAUGUCAAAAUGACAAACUAAGUAUCAUACUAUAAGGUCUUAAAAAUUCAUAUCUUAGUAAACCUUAGGUCGUGCAUUGAGGACAUUGUGGGGGAUUUUUCGUUCCUUCAGCAGAUCGGACAAAUAUUCUGAAUUCUCAACACUGCAUCAGGAAGAUGAAAGAUCUUAGAGAUGGAUAUGCAGAAACUUUGAACCACGUGAAAUAUAACCAAACUUGAAAUUCUACCAUGCAUAAACAAAUAAAAUAGAGAUCAUGAUUCAUACCCCCACAGCUGAGUAUUUACCAUCUAAUUAUACCAAAGUCAAGCAUGAGUAAAACAUAUCAUAAGAAAAAAUGGCAGUAUGAUAAAACCACAUUCCUACAAAAUAACUAAGUAAAAAACAAAACUGUUUUGAGUUCCAUAAUUAAUAUCUUAAAUUUUUAUUGUUGGGAAAAGUGAUCCGGCAUGUAUUGUAAACUCAUAGUCUUAAACUGGAAUCUGGAUUGCCAUUCUUUAAUUUCCUCUAUUCCACUUUCCUUCAAUUUUGAAAUAUUAAAUAUAAGAUAACUAUUAUGUUACAUUCAGCCUGAUGUCACAUAUAAGAAGCAGAAACUCUAAAACCCGUCACUAUGGUACACCCCUACAUCACUCAGCAUAAUCAAGGUCAUCAAAAACCCCUUCAUAAGUUCUGAAAGAAAUUAAGUGUAGUAGCUUGGGAGGAGUUGAUUACUUAGAAAAUGCUGAGAGUUUUAAAAGUCCCAAUCAUAGCACUUAGCUUUAGGGGACUUCUCAUACUGAGCAUCAUCAUAUGGUUAUGCAUUUUCCUUAUCAUGGAUGUUUCCUCUUCAUCCAACCAACAAAGAAGGCAUUAGUAGACCCCAGAUAUUUCCAAGCUAGCAACCACAUGGAGCAUUAAGGUGGUUGGACAUUUCUGGCUCGACAACAGUCACACUGUUGGUUCUUGAAUGGCAUGCUCUCAAGUCUCCACCCCCUAAUGCCCCCCCUCUUCAGGUGAGGGCAAGGUGACUCAUCAUGCAAGGGAAGAGCUUUUGAUGAUCACUAGUGAUUCUUAGCUGACAAAAAUUAGUUGGGUAAGCACUGUUGAAUUUUUCUCAGGAGUAACUAUUUAACAUGAUAAUGGCAAUAGGCUUCUUUGAUCAUUUAUCAAAAGAAAGGAUAAAAGAAAAUAAGUAAGACCGCUACCUCGUAACUGACCCUGAACAGGACAAUGAUUUACAACAGUGAUUGCAUGGAUCAAUUUUAUCCACAAUGAUUAGUUUCAGGUGUCAAGAAGGACCAAAAUCUUUUUAACAUAAAAUAAUAAGAUAAAAAUACAGAUAAAAUCCAACCAUUCAUUACUAUCAAGUACAAAGAAUCAGAAUCCUACAGGCUAAUCAUCAACAUACGGCAUUAUGUCCCUCAGCAUGGGCAGGCUGAUGGAAUCCUUAUUGACAACAAGGCAUUCCUUUGAGCUUUUGGGGUUGAAUCUAGCUAUGUGUAAUUGUGUAUGGAGCCAUUUUAACCAAAUAAAGCUAUGAAAGACAAGAAGAGGGAGGAAAGAGAUCUUUCUACUAUAUUCUUACACAAAAAAGUAAUGUCAAGUAAAGAAGAUUCCUUAGAAACCAUUUUUUUUUCCUUUCUUUCUUUCUUUUUAUUUCUCCAUUUCAUAAGAUAAUAAAAGCAAAUCAAUUACCCAGUGGAAUGAUAAUUUGUGACAGAAAUAUGCCUGCAUUUUCACUCUAUAUUCUUUUCUAAUAAAUCAGUUUGGCUCUCCAGUCAAUUUUAUGGUGGAUACAGAUAUGAAGAUAGCCGGUCCCUAGGUACUCCCCUAACCUUGAAACCUCUGUAAAAGUAUGUGUAAGUAAAUAAAAGGCAUACUAUAAAUUCUGUGUUAUUAUUAUAUGCUAUGAGAAUGCUAUGAAUUAAGUUAUUCUUGCCCAGCAUGUCCAAGAUAGUGCAACAUGAAAAACAAAGUUGAUCUCAAUGCAGUAACUUUUGUUUAUGAAACAAAUCUUAGAAUGUAAUAAUAUAACACAAAUCAAAAUAGUCUCACACAGAAGUCUAGAGAGAUUCUGAAGAAAUAUGAAUGACAUUAGCAAGUAACUGCCAUAGAGUUACCUAGUGGUGCCAACUAAAACAGGACGACCCUGUCUGAACAUGUAUUCAACUUCUUCACGAACAUUUUCCCACUUUCCACGAGCAGUCUUAGACAAACCCAAAGCAAGUCAAAUUGAAAGAAAAAGGUUCUGUUGCAGGAAGAGGGAAAUAUUAAUCAAAAUGGACUAUGAAGAUUGAAUGUCCUACCGCAAAAGCUUGGAUGGGUAAAUCUUUACGAAUAUUUGGCAGAUUUGGGGGCACUUCAAUAACAGGCAUCUGGAACAUUUUUAAGAACUCUUUCUCCUGAAACAAUGAAUGAGAAGAUUUUUUCAUAAGAAUUCAAAUUAGAAUUAAUAAGGUAGAACAAACAUUUAUUAUAAAUAGUUAACCACGAUGCCAGAAUCCAUAACAGUGUUUAUACUUCAGUUUUCGCAGUCCCUGUCAUCCCUGACAGCUUCGGAUAGAGCUUAAACAGAGAUUGAUACGUGAUUUGUGCCACCACAACCGAAUCAGCCUAAAAAGAAUAUGAAAAAUACAGCUUUAAAUCAGAUAAAUACAAGUGGAUUUCAAAGUAAAAUAUAAAACAAAAUUCAGAAGUAUAUUGUCAAACAUCAAGAUGUACCUGAAUCUUCAGACCUUCUUUAGCCUCUACAGCCUGGUGAAUCCCCUCAGACCAUCUUCGCUUUUCUUCAACUCUCCCAGUCAACUGCAGAAAUCUUUUCGGAAUUAUCAUCUUAUUACAAAAAAAACAAAAAAAAAACAAGAAUCUUCAAAUGUACUUGCCUAUGAGAAACAACAUCACCAUCAUCAUGUUUAUCCAAGACUGUACGAAUUAUGUUCUAAGCAACAACCAGAUUGAACACAACUCCAACAAAAAUACUCAAUUGAAGACAAACAUGUUUCAGAUAGUGUGUGCUUUAGACAAAUCUUUAAGCAGCAAAUAUUUUUAACUUGGGAUUACAGAGCUGAAACUACUCAAAGCCACAUUUUUUACCUAGGAUUUUUCAAUGGAAAAAUAUGGAGGGAUUUGCAGUUGUUGAUCUACAAUAAAUUUUUUCCAUGAUUUCUCUGCAACUGUAUGGUAGAAUCAAAACAAAAAUCAACUACACAUUCUUUUCCUCCUAUUUUUUUGUUCAAAGGACAUGACAGUGACAAGCUGCAAGUUACGUGCAAUGCUAAGAAAUGGCAACCUUGCCAUGUCCGCUAUCAAUGAAGGCCUCUAAACUGUAGAGGGUACAGCUGAUCUCCAACCUAUAAAAAAAAUGCCUAUGAUACAAAUAUGUCUAUAAUGCAGAAUUUCUUCAUUAUUACUGCUUUAAGAGGCACAAAGAGCUGGAUCUAUUAGCAAUUUUUACUUUCCAAACACAACCAUUUAUUUGACUACAAAUUACAAUGGAAGACCCACCAUACGUACAACGUAUGUCCACCUUUUUGGUUCCCACUCCCUUUUACGCCUUGGCUUCAAAUGCCACCCCCCACCCCACCAAAAAAAAAAGAAAAAGAAAGAAAGAAGCAAAAGAAGCUUCCACCUCAAGCACCCACUAAUACUUCUUAAUUAAUAGAUAAUACCAUCAAAUAUCACACUGUACAAUCAGAUGAAGACUUAUACUUCAUAUAUGCUUCGACUUUUAGAAAAACCAAAAGGUUGAAGCAUUUGGUGACUUAUAAUACAUGAUUUAUGUUCCAGUUAAAAUAGUUCUGAACAUCAAUGUUAGAGAUUGCAGUCUUUUCAUGUGAUUCAUGUCCAAACUCUCAUUUUCCAUUUUCUUCUAGUAAGAGUUGCAUUUGCAACUGAAUGAUCUAUAACCAACACAACUCUAAAUUUUGACUAUUUGAUAGUUCUUGCUCCUUAUAAGUCAUAAGACUCAUAAUUCUACUACUCCAGCUCGAUUUCUUCUCUUUAAUAAACAAUACAUCAUUUAUAAAAUUGGAUUCAAUUGAUUUUUUUCUUUCUAGAGUCUGGCUGGUUUUCCUUCUAUUAUUACUCUCUGAAUCUCUCCAAUGUCAUUCAUUUUUUUUUUUGAAACAAAGAUAUAUUAGAUACGGACAAAAAAAAAACAAGAGAAGGAUGAGGGAUCCUCCCCACAAAAUAAAAGAAUCUGAUCAGAAUAUGACUGAAGCUCCUCCACUAUUCAAAGGAACUUGUACAAAAAUUAGUCCAUUUAUGGCUAUAUAUAUAUAUAUAUUUUUUUUUUUUUGAUAAGUCCAUUUAUGGCUAUAUAUCAAGUCUUAUAAAGCGCUUCUCUCAUUGUUGUCCAAACCUUUUAAUUUAUAGACUAAACGCCAAUUAAGUUGAAUAACAUUGAGUGAGUGCCUCUAAAUGUAGUAGUAUAAGAGGCUCAUAAGGAGGAAUAAAAGUAAAGUAAAUCCCACAACAUCUCUACCGUCCUCCAUUUUUACUCAAAGAUCCUAACAUUUUUCUCUCACCACACAAUCCAAGACAAAGUGGGGCAAGUGAUUUGCCAAAAGGUCUUGCCUCUAACAGAACUUUUCAAUCCUCCAAAAAAAAAACUGGUCAUCAUGUAACAUAUACUCCUGAGCAAAACUCAAUCCAUCCUAGCUAGACUAAAUAACUUGUGUCACAACCCCAGAGUUAUCGAACAAUGUAGAAGUAGAUAGUCAAUCAACUCUUCAAUGUUGUUCAUGAAUCUCGCUUAUUUUCUGCUAUAAGUGUAUCUCCUCGUCUCUUCUAGUUUGGUUGAAAAGUCCUGUAAUUUCAAAUUUUCCAGAUAAUCCUUAAAUUGUUGGGGGAAUCUGUCAUAUUCCUUGUGGAUUUCUGUAUAUAGUGUGAAUUAUCUUCUAUUUUAAUUUAUUAAGAAAUAAAUUGUCAGAAAUCCGCAUUAUAUUACAGUAAUCAGCCAAACCAGAUGGUUGGCCAGCUGAACUGUGAGCCAGUUCCUUUUACAUGUUGACGAAUAAUCAGGGUUUUAAAGGAUCUACAACAGUCAUCCUUUAUCAUGAUGGAAAUCAUGAACACAUGGACUAAGAAAGAAAUGAUGAAAUAUUCCAUAAAAGUGACAGGAGAUAAUGAUAGAGAAAUGGAAAAUAUUAUGAUACCAAAAGAUAUACAAAUGAUGGUAAUACCUCAUUGAUAAUAAGAGCCUUCCCAUUCCUAACAAUGUAUUGAACAUUCCGCCGAUAGAACUCUUUGGCCUUCAAAGCAUUCAUCACAAACCUACAAUGUUCCAUUGAAAUUGAAAUCCAAGUGGGAACACAUAACUAAGUAUGCCCAUUAUCUAGAAGAGAAAAUGAACUAUUUUAAAAUUUAAACACAAUGUUUGACAACCAGCAGGUUACAAGACCACAAUUCUGUUCAGUUGUUUAUGGAUAGUGAACUGAAUAGGACAAAAUUUGUUUAAAGUUUUCCAGAAAAAAACAAAAUGGAAAUAUUUUUGUUGUGGAUAUUUGAAAGUAACAUUCUGAAAAGAGAUGAAAGAAGACGGUUGAAAGAACAAACAACUGUGAGCAUAUUCCACUUUUGGUCAACUCUGGCAAUGAUAUCACAGAGUGACAAAAAAAGUAAGAAAGUCAAUGUUCACCUAGCCCAAGGAUCAUUUUCAUCCCAUAGGUCAUUAGUUUCAAGAGCCAUCUCAGCAAGUGCAAUUCCUUCCUCAGUCAACUCCACUGAAUUAUCCUUAAGCUCCACAUUAUAAUGCUGUUAACGCAAUUUAUUUAUAGCAAGGGUUAAUAUUGUUUCCAAAGAAGAUAAGAAAUAUAUAACCCAAUACAAACUAUGCCAGUUGAGUCAGCCAAAUAUCCUAGUUCAACAGAAUAGAAAAGCAAGAAACUCACAAGUCCUCGAAUAAGCAGCUCAGCUAUUUUGGCAGCAACAGGAUAUCGUGCAGCAUCUUUACUAGCCUGAGAUGCAGAAUAAUAGAAACUAAAACACAAUACUUCUAUACUGCUGAAAUUUUUUGCUCAUGCUAUUACCUACAGCUACUAACUGGAAGUUGUAAUUUCAAACCUCAAAAGGAAAUCAAAACAUAGACAAAUAUUACCUCACCACUUAUUAACAAAGGAUUUCUUCCUUCAUCAAUAAGAACUGAAUCAACUUCAUCAACUAUGGCAAAAUGAAAUGGCUUUGGCCUGUUUUUCCACAGCACACUGCUAGUAGUCCAAUAAAACAACAAAAGACAAACUUCAUAUGGUGUCUGAAAAUGUACCAUCUCAUCACUAGUUGCCCACUAGUUCCAGCAAGAUUAUCUCGUAAAUAAUCAAAGCCCAGUUCCUGAUGACAUUCCAAACAAGGAUAUCAGAAAUAAGAAAAAAAAGGGAAGAUGCACUAACCAAGAUUCAACUGCUCCAAUGACACAAGAAAAUGUGAACAAGGCUGCCAAGCAACUACUAUACCACCAAAAGCAAAUACCAGAACAAAAAUUAUAAGUGGAGAUAUGCAACAAGAUAAAAUUGAAUAUGACUUACUGAAUUAUUGGUAUAUGUUAUAUCACAUCCAUAGUUGGAUCUUCUCUCUUCUGAUGUCAUCCCCCUCUAUAUAUGCAAGCAACAGAAGAUAAACUGUAGUGAAAUGCACUUAAUCUGACUGACUAGUGGUGGAAAUGGAAUAUCAAUAUGCAUAUGAAAUUGCCCAGAGUCAAAAUUAUGGUAUUACGAUACAAGUUGUCCAAUUGACCCACCCAAUGAAUGCAUUGAAAAGGACAGAAAAACCAUAACUUGAAAUUUUUAUGACUCACAAGCAGGAAAUCACACCUGAAUAAGACCCACUGAAAGACCUAGGAAACGAUGAACACGACCCAUCCACUCAGCAUCACGUUGGGCCAGAUAAUCAUUGACAGUUACCACUGAAGAAAAAAAUAAUUGAGCAAACAACAUCACAAGAUUUAACCAAAUAUGCAUCAAUGCAAUAUUUAUUCGACAAAAGCCUGGAAGUACUUGUAGAUUUGUAUUAAAUUGUAGCAAGUGGAUCACACCAAUGCAGGGCUACAAAAAAGAAAAUAAGAUAAAAAAUAAAAAAAAAUAAAAAGUGAAAUACUCUACCAAGAACAAAAUACCUGUAGAAGAAGAGGUUACAAGCACCUCUUACAUAAUCAGGUGCCUUCCCAACUCAUCUGAUCAUCUUCUGAUCAUUAUACACCUAUCUUCUCUAAAUGCCAUAUAUUAAACUCAUACCCUUUCACGUAGCCAUUCAUGUCACUAAGGUUACAUAUGAAGAGAGUCCCCAGUAAUUUUCUAAUAAUUCCUUUCUUCUUGAAUUUCUUGAAAAUUUUAAACCAUAGCCUUCCAAAAGCUCAGUUUCAUCUAGGAUUGGCACCUAUGAAGUAGAAUCAAAUUAUUAUGUUUUCCAGGUGGAAGUUUUCUGAAAUCUUAUCAGUUUUGUUACUUCCAAACUUUGCCAUGAAAGCAUUCUCCAAAACUAAUACACAACCUUUUUCUUUGAUCAAAUUAACUGAGAAUUGUUCCCAUUGUUGGAUUAGUAGCCAUUAACCCAUUUAUGUUGUAGAUUAAUGUUAUAUUUGUGGCUCAUCAACUCAUUUAAGGAGAGAAUAGUUGGAAUUGGUCUUCUAUAGAUGCCUUGAGCAUUGAAUUUUGGAAAGGCAACCAACACUACUUGAAUGGAAGUAGACUAAAAAUUCAGUUCGGCCAAUUAACCACCAAAUUCAUUAUCAGUCAAAACAAUUGAGAAUUUUAACUUUCUGAUAGUCACAAGCCAACACAGCAAAGUCCAGUUGGACAGAUGUGGAUUCACACAUUGAACAACUCAUCCAAAUUUCAUUUCUUCCGGAAGCCACACAUGUCAGCAUCUGAAAGACUAAAAAGUAAGUCCUGUAAAUCAACAAAAAAAAAAAAGCUUCCCUUGUUGGCAAGUUCCCUAGAUCAAGAAGGAAAAAUUAUUGAAUUAGAGAAGCAUGUUUCUCAAAUCUAGGUAUAAAAAUCCCUUAAAUUAAGGAAUUCAAAUUUAGGAAGAAUAAAUUAACACCCUUGCUUGACCUAUAAAUAGAGGUGUCUUUCUUUGACAUAUAACUCCCAAAAGAAAGAAAAAAGAAAAUUUAGAAGCCUCAUAUUGAAAAAUAAGCUCCCACAAGAUUGGACCCACUUUCAAACACUCAUUAACUAGCCAAUGGAAGAAUAUCAUAAGCAUAACAUUCAUGCCAUUUAUCCACCUUUAAACCUGAAGGCUAAAGUAAAUAUUCAUACAAUGUCCUUUUCCUCUGCAGACUAUUAAAAAGGAAAAUAUUACAAGCUUUUAUUCUAGAACAAGUGAUGCUUGGCCCUUGAAUUAAACUUUAUUUCAAGCAGAUGCAACCACCAGUCUUGGAUCAAAAUCAAGAAAGAUAACAAAAAUCAGAUGAUUCAUUUUGUACAAAAUAUACAUUGGACUUGUACCAAUCAUUUAUUUUGAAUCAAUACAAAUUUAUUUAAUUCGCUCUUUGUCUUUCCUUUUGAUUUGCAAGCUGUGAAAUUUGUUCAUACAAAAUGGAUUGAUGGGCCACUUACCUAGUGCACAGAUGGACCAAUGGGCACUAAUCUAACAUCUAUCCAUUUAUUAUUCGUAAAUUUAAGUAUGUUUAUUGUUAUAGUUGCUAACAUUUGAAUCCAUAGUUGUCAUGUGCCUAUUUUCCAAAGAGAGAUUCCCCAUUGCACAUUUGUGACAAAGAAGCCUCCAAAACCGGUUUUAAUGCCACCCCUAGUCCUAUCACUCUUUAAAUAAGACAAAUUUUAACAUUAACUUUCUGUCAGGAGACAUGUUCCAACUAACCAACUGAAGCCCAGAAGGAGAUCCCAGAAAAUAUAAUUAUUGAGACACCUAGCCUGAUUCUUGUACUCAUGGAUGUUUUCCACAAAUCAAUACAAGCAAUUCAAUUGCCUUGCUUACAUUUGAAUCAUUCUACUAGCACAUUUUCGAUGCCAUUGAAGAAAAACUAUGCAUGAUCGUUUCAUUCAUUUGCACACAUAAAAGCAACAACCACAUUUCAAACAAGUUAGGACAGAACACAUACCAUGAACACCCUCACCAGUGAGGGCAUUGAGAUAGGCUGCUAAUGUGGAAACCAAGGUUUUUCCUUCCCCCGUUUUCAUCUCAGCAAUGGACCCAUCAUGAAGCACAGCUCCACCAAUGAUCUAAAAAAAAAGAAUUUUGCAUAUUCGCAAGUGAAUAGAAAAAAACACCUUAUUACAUAAAUGCGUACGUACCUGGACAUCAAAAUGGCGCAUUCCAAGCUUCCUCCUCGCAGCCUCCCGGACAACUGCAAAUGCCUCUGAAAGAAAAAAGCAAAGUAACAUUGUAGCUCAAUCGUCUAUCCCUUAUCCAAAUAAACCAAAAAAAGAGGCACCAAACCAGCUUGAAUAUCCGCAAGCGUCUCUCCUUGUCUCAGCCGGACACGGAAGUCCACAGUUUUUGCAGCCAACUGCGAAAAUAAACCAAACCCAUAAUCUAGAACGGCUCAAACAAAAACGACUAUAGCUUUCAAGAAACAAGUGCGCAUAGAAAAACCUGUUCAUCAGAGAGUCUCUGAAUCUGCGGUUCGAGGGCGUUAACCGAGUUUACGAGACGGUAGUAGUCCCUAACCACCCAGUAGUUUAGGCUUGUAAGGUCACUCCAAUUCUUCCUCAGACGACCCAAAUUUUCCUAAAGCAAAAGAAACCCAAGAAAGUGGAAAACGAUCCACAGAAGCAUUUCAACGAACAAGCGAUGGACAGAACAUAAAUAUGCGAAUAAUUAAGCAACAAAGACCUUCAGAGAAGCGACCGCAACUAGGGGUCCAGGCCUAGAAAGACGCCGUUGCCGCCGAGACAGAGAAAGGGAAAGAGACGAAGAAUAUGAAAUGGGUCUGGUCCAAAAGAUGGCAUUGGGCCGUCUCGAAGGUUGCUCAGGAGUGAUGAAGGGCGGAUUCAGAACAGCAGACGCCGCCGCGGCCAUGGCGGUGCUCUAUGGGCUAAAGGCAACGCAAGUCUAGUGUUGCUGCUCCCAUUGAUCGGCAACGUUCGAGAAACGACACCUUUAGCUUCCGGAUUGACUGUUAAAUAGUGGCACCCGGUGCACUUUUUCGAGGGUCUAAGAGGCUUUUCCAACGGUUAAAUAAUGAAAAUCCUGAUUAACGUUUCUUGAUUUUCUUGAUCAUACGUUAAUAAAUUAUAAUGCUAUUUUUAGGACAGUUGUCCAAUCCCCCCUCUGUCAAAGAUUGCAUUUUCAUCCGUCAAUUUUAUUUUCAAUAUUUCAGUUGGAUAUAAUAUCCUACCUAAAUAUUUUUGUAAUUUAAAGAUUAAUUGAAAAAAAAAAGAAAGAAAAAAAAAAUGAGCGAGAUCUUUUGUUGUCUUUUAUUUUUUUAAUCGUUGUUCUCUUUAUUAUCACAAAUUAAUGUUCUCUUUAUAAUUUUUGAUAUGUUUCUAUUGGUUUUUGUAGUAUCAAGAUUAGUGGUCACAUUCCGCCUUUGGAUCAUAUGAACAAAUUGAUACUAAAAUCAAUUUAGGAGCUUUAUAAAACUUUAGGAAGUGUUUGGGAUAAUUUUUAAAUUUAUUACUGACAUACUUUAAUUAAUUUUGGAUUUAGAAAUUUAUAGCGUUUGAAUUGUGUACUAAUUACUAUUUUGAAUCAUUUCGAGAUAGUUGUCAACUAGUUACAUGUUGGAUUUGUUAGUUAAGGUCGUUUAUGUGUUGGGGUAUGGGUUUUUUGAUAUGUGAAAUAACCGUUUGGCAACAGAGUUGAAGAGUCACAGUUCACCUAACAUCUCUUAUUCCGUGCUUACUGAAUUUCAGCUGGAUCCAUGUAUACACUGUUCUCAUUUACAGUAUGAACAGAUAAUUUGCGAGAGUGCAUAAACAUCGUUUACAGAUAAUUUGUAAUCACCAUAAUCACCCUUGGCAGCUUCGCCAACGUAUUGAGUUUGGUUGACAUCUUCUUAAGCGAUGCUUCCAUCACUGCCCAGAAUACACCUGGUGAAAUUAAACAAAGAUUCAAUAACAGAAUGAACCAAGAGAUGGUACAUUGAACAUCAUAUAUUCCUGAACUAAAAUGAUCCAGUUUCUGCUCAGAAUGCUUGAAGUUAGUUUUCUUUAAGCAAAUUCUUAGCACAGGUAGACUAUUUUUUAGAUUUCAACAAGUAAUGGGGUCUUCAAACCUGUAAUUGUAACAAGAAGUUUUCUAGAUUGAAGUCUAUGGAUGGUCAGUCUCUCAUUAAAAAAGACGGAGAAAAAAGUAUAGCCUACCUUGAUAAUUCUAUCAGCACAGCCAACAAAAAGCUUUCCUUGCCAGUAUAACAGUGCAGUUACGGCGGAGUCGGAAGCAAUAGAUCCAACUGGCAAUGCUUCUAUUUGAAGAUCAUCUCCUGAUAUCUCCUACAAAUAAAGGGCCAUGAGACUGAUUCAUUGAGCAAAUGCAACAGACCUUUCAUUCAAGGUUAGAUUUAAAUAAAAACCAAAAGUUGAAAGAGAAAACAGAAUUGAAGGUUAAAAAGAACUUCAAAGUGCCAAUACGUUUUACAGCAUCCAUCAUUAAUUAUGCUUAUAAGCCAAACAAACACCAUUUUGCAAAUGUACCUGUACAUUGACACUCUUGUCCCAACCUCCUGUGAACAACCAUUUCCCUCCCAUGGCAACAGCAAAAACAGCACCAUCAUGGGCUUGUAUGGAUUUCAUAAACACAUCAUUCCUCCAGAUCUGGAAAAAGCGAUGAAGAAAGCAAAUGAAUGAUGAAACUAUUUAGUAAACCCACAACAGGUUCUCUACAUAAAAGGCAUUGGCAAUUUGGCAGAUACCAAUCCCCUCUUGGCCAAUGACUUCAUAAUACAGCACCGAGGCGCACUGCAAAUAAAGAUCAAGUUGUUUUUGGAACCAUUUGGGAUGCAUCCAUUUUUCUUUUACCCACGGUAUUGUGUUUAAGAGAUAUGAUCAUUUUAGAAUGAGGAUAAUUGAUAACCGUUUCUGUUCUUUGUAUUACAAUCUGGAGGCUGCUCUAUUUUACAUGACUAAAGUGAGAGUUCAAAGCCCACAUCAAUCAAAACUGGAUUAUUUUAUUUUCCAUGGAUGCACCAGAUGCCCCAUUGGAAGAUUACCAAUUCUAGUGUAGACUAAGUAGGGUUCAAGAAUCAGAAACCUUUAAGCAUCCGUCCUCAUGAGCUGCAAGAAGCAUAUGGUGGUCAGCUUUUAGAGACAAAACUGAGAUCACAUUUCCAGGUGUGUCUUCCCCCAAUACGGUCAAAGGACUAUGAUCAUUAAGAGACCACAGCCUGAUGGUCCCAUCCCAACUCCCACUGUAAAGAACACCGUCAGAAACUGCUAGCGCAGACACAACUGAUUUAUGACCAUUCAUAGUGCAUGAUAGGGUGCAAUCCUGUGGAAAUGGAAAAUAUUAAAAUGCAAAUAUGUAUUUUCACAUAAUGUCUGAACUCUGAAGAGAUAAACCAAGCAUGCUAUAUAGGAUUAUUUAGUCAGAGGAAAUUGCAUAAAAGCACAAGCCAUUACCUGCAAUGACCAUGCUUUUAUUGACUUAUCUCCACUGCCAGUAUAGAGAUAUCCAGUUCCAGAAAUUGCCAAGGCAUGAAUACCACUAUAGCGCCAAUCCUUUUGCUCAAACCAUUUCUUUAAUGGUUCUUGCCCCAGAGGGAUGCUAAUUCCCCAGACAAAAAUGCCACCUCCGAUAUCACCACUAAUGCACAAAGGUUGUUCUUCAUCCACAAAAACUACAGCCAUGACUCUAUGCUCAUGACCUCUAAAUUGAUGUACAAGGGUAAAGUCCUGCAUGAGAUAGAUGCACCAAUUCAAAAAGGGAAAAUUACAAGAAGAGAGAGAAUCUAAAUUCCAGGACAAGAAGAACAAAUUCAAUAUGUACUUCUGAUGAAUCCAUGCAAAGGUGAAAUAAACUUCUAGAUCCAGUUGAUUAGAGAUUGAUUGUUCACUGUGCUCUAUCACCACAAGCAACUUUUCUUAAGGGCAAUUUGAUUCUACUGUUUGGUAAAUCACAAUGCUGCAAAUCUAGAUAUUUUGGAGGUAUUCUAAACUUAGUCUAGCCCAUAGCUUAAAAUUCCUGCUUCCCAAUCCACUGAAAGCUGCCAACAGAGCAUGAAUACUUAACCCCCGAAACUCCCAAAAGAGGACUGAGCCAAAGCCCUUAGCAAGGGUAUAAUUACUCUCCAAUUCCUAAUAUGAUGCAAUUGAUAUAUAGAAUACGAUACCAUGUUGACUUUCUUUUAGUAGUGGUUGGGAAUAGUUUCUACAUAUGUGCAACAUUAUUCUUUUGACAACUUGUGUUCUCUGAGCUGUAUGUCCCAUAAUUAUACAUGUUCUGAUGAGAUACAACAAAUUGUAUAUGAACAAUUGAAAUGAGGAAAUCACAACAAAUCUAGUAGCAUGAACACAGAAUGUAAAGCAGUUCAUUUUAAAUAUACAACUUGAUUCACCCUCUGUUGUGGCAUUAAGCAAAAUUAUCCAGAAAAUGGGUUUAAGAGAUGCCAUACUAUUAUCCUAAUUGCAGCACCAAAUGGUCAAAUAUUUUGUUGAUAAUAAAUUUCAUAAAUCUUCAAAAUCAAGGAAAGUAUGCACUUAUAGUCAAACUUCAACAACUGUUAUUACCUGCAAAGACCAAACAUGGAUUGUUUUAUCGAAGGAGGAGCUAAACAGGAACCCCCCUAUAAAAGAAAGAAAAGAUACUCAAUGUAAUUCAAUCAAUUGGACAGGAAACUAACAAAAUAAAGUUGCUAAAGACAGGCACACCACGUAAAUCAAAUAGGGAAACCAAAGGAUCUUCACACCAUCACAACUAGCAAAGGGAAAACCACAUACAACAACUUAAAGAACUAGAUGGAUCCAUUUGAGAAACGUGAUGCGGGCUUGCUAUGAAUGGCUAGGUGAUCAUGAACUAAUAUCACAAAGAAAUCUCACAGCAUCUCAUCUCAAGUAAGUAGCUUUGAUAAUUUGAAAGAUUGAUAAAGAAGCUGGCAGCUUGCAUUUUACUAUCAUUUAGUAGACCAAAUACACUGAUUUUUAAAAAAAAUAAAAUAAAUAAAUAAAUAAAUAACUUUUAGGCAUAGGCAAAGUAUAAUGAAGGGAUAAGUCACCACCAUUUCACAUGUGUAUGGUUUGUUGGGUUUAUAGUACAAGGGCCAAACCAUGGCAGGGAGAAGCAUUUCUGUCAUGUGGAUGACAGAUACGAAGUUGCUUUUACACAGAGAUAACAGAAAUGCCCCUAUAUACCAUGACCAGGCACACUGAUAACUGGAAAAGGAAGAAAUUUAGCUCUUGAAUUUCAGCAUCCUCUGGCAAUAAGAUAACUCAACAGUCAUGAGCAGAAUAUAAGGUAAUAUGAAAAAUGAAUAUUUGGUACAGCAUCAUAUUAAAAAUCAAAAAGGACACAAAGUAUUUAUACCUCCAACAGCUAAUCCUGUAAUACAAUCAAGAUGGCCUUGCAGAUUUAUAGAUUUGACGGUAGAUCCAGAGAGACCCUCAAUGAAAUCUUUAUCAUCCUGCAAUUCCCCAGCUUGAUCAACAUUUUCUCUGCCGCUUUCAUCUGUCUUCACUGCUUUUGAUCCUUUAUUAGUUUCCUUGGGCAACUGACACAAUUCUCCAAGAACCAAGCAGUGCACAUUGUUGCCCUCAUUAACUGUUCCCUCUUGACUGACCAUAAUAUCAAAUUGAGGUUUUAUAACCAAUUCCCUAAUGCAUUUCCACACAUCAGCUACAAGUGGACGACUUUUUGGAUCCAAAUUCAAACAUUCACAGAGAAUCUUUUGCAGUGCUACAAAAUUUGUGCCCAGUUUAGUUUCCAACAAAGAACUGACUUCCUCCCUACAAUCCAUGUACACUUCUAAAUAAUCAGAAUGCCUUUUUGCACUUCUUAUAUGGAGUUCAGUGAAUGGGUUUCCAAUAAAAAGCCUGAGCAACAUACAAGCUAAUGACCAAACAUCAGAGCUAUAUCCAACUGAAUAACUUAAACUGUCGCAUUCUAGUUCAAUGCCCUCUUUCUGCAAUAACUCAAUGAACACUUCUGGGCUCAGAAAUGCCUCUCUUUUUAUUAGAUUGGUUGAUAUUAUUCCCAUUUCCUUAUCAUCAAUUCUCCUCCUACCUGAAACACUCUCCACAAGGCUCCUAUGAAUCUUCCUUCCCGUCACCAACAUCUCAUUCAAAUCAACAAAAACAUGGCCAAGACCAUCAAAAUUAAAGCAUGAUGGUGCUAAACAACCACUAACUAGUCCUUCUGAAUGUAAGCCAAUAAUUGCUUUGCAUAUCUCCAUACCCAUCAUUGCAAAACAGAAUAUCCCAUCUUCUAUAGCUGAAUUCAGCAAACUUUUGUCAUUCCCACCAACAACCUCAUUUUUCAGUUCACUAAUUUUUUCCACAAGGUCACCUUCCCACCGCUCACAUACAAGAUACAUCCAUUGAUCAUCCAAAUCAUACCACAGUCCAUAAACUCCACAGGUUUUGCGCUGUCUCAAAAUCAAACCCAAUUCAUAUCUUUUCUCCUCCUUCAUUCCAUUCAAACAGUUCAUGAUUCGCGCCAUAUAACUAAAACUAAUCACAGAAUCAUUCACAAACGAUAAAGAAGCAAUUCUAACAAGACUCACAUUUUGAUUCUCUUUCAUCCACCACCGAAUAACCGACGGCGAAGAAGAAGAAGAAGAAGCAAUUCUUCCAUGAAUCACAUCACAAAAAUCCUUCCCACCUCUGGGUUCAACCGAAACGGCGUCGUUCGGAAGAACCCAGUCCUUCCAAACGGAAUAAAACUGGUCAGACCACAAGCGAGGUAGAAAUUCAUAGUGACUGGUGAUGGGUCGUUUCUGGGGUUUCUGAUAAUCAGAGUCCUCGCUAAGACAGAGCCUGAGAAGGUCGAUGUUCUUGGGUAGAGCCGAUGGGCCUUGGAGGUGAGAGAACUUGACGAGUUGUGUACAUGCCGGGCAGCGAAUGGUGUCCAAGAAUCGUUGUGGGAGGUGGGUUAUGCAUGCCUCGCAAGCCGUGUGUCCGCAGGCGAGUACGCGAGGGAUUGCUUGAUCGGUGUCGUAGGUUUGGAGGCAGACUGGGCACUCCGGCAGUUGCAGCUCCAUAACUCGAUUCUUCUUCUGCGCAGAAAUGAGACGUCCACGUCGUGAAACGCUGCGUUUUGGUGGAAAACUUUGCGUUUUAGUGUUGUCAGAGGAAACGACGCCGUUUCAAGCUAAAAUAUCGUUUUGGGCAUCUCUUUAAACAGUCUCCCUAUUUCUCAGGGCGCGUUAAGCAAGCAUCUGCGUCUCAUCUUCUUCAGGAUCUCCCCUCUCAUUAAUGGUUUUUUCUUUUUUGUUCUCAAAACCCUAACCCUAAUCCUAGCUAGGCUUGCUUUUAGAUCAAUCUAAAUGUGUCUGGAGUUCUGAAUUUGAUUUGGAAGUUGAAGGUUAGUUAAAUUUGGACCCAUUUGCUUGUUUUUGUGUUGGGAUUGCUCUAUGUAGUCCAUAGUUUCUUUUGAACCAGAUCUAUGAUAUUUGUGAAUUGUGUUCCUUUUUACGUAGUUCAGUGAUAGUUUGACUUUAGUUUAGUAUUCAAUUAUGCAUGCAAGCUACUAGGUGAAAGAACACAUGCAAAUUUCGUGUGGGAUGCGCACAAGCUGUUCGAUGAAAAACCCAACCGUGGAUGCAAAAUCAUGCUGUUUUUAUCUUGAACCUUAUAUUAUUUACGCUAUGUUACAGUGGGUUUGAUAGUGAUUUUAAGAAGUGUUUUUAGCCUUUAUAACACUUGAAAAUUUUCAUUUUAAGUAUUAAAAAUGUUAGAAACACUUCUUAUGAUUAUUGUCAAAUGCACUCUCACUAAUAUCAUUCUUAUUACUAAUAUGAUUAGGGACCAUCUCAAGACAUAAGGUCUUCUUCUUAUAUUUGAUGUGAAAGGACAAGAGUAUCUAUGUGCACAGUUAGAAUCCUUGUUCACACUUGACAGAAAGGACCCAAAAGGCCAAAGCUUCACUUAAAAGGAGAUAUGAAGCUUGCAUAAACCCUCCCAUAAGGACCCAUCCACCAACUUUGAUUGUGAGAAAUGACCAAUUGUUAUCCUGGGCCGUUCCUAGUGAUUUUUCUGUAAAGGAAAAAGAACUAAAAUGACAGUUGAAUGUAUCAUGAGCAGGGCCAUGUUGGUAUUUGUCUACCGUUUUUUACUUCUUGCAACCAACCAUCGCUGUUUAGAUUAUCAAUUUCCUAUGUUUCUGAAUCAACCAUUUUAAGUUGGUACUUCUCCAUCUGGUUGCAAGUAUGGAAGAUCUAUGUAGGAUUGUUGUGAAUUUAUUCCUAAUCAACAUUUCUAUGUCACUAUAUAUGGAACUAGAUAUGUCCUGUGUAGGCCUUAGGGAUGAAUCCCAUUGCUAAUUAAUAGCAUGUCGAGUAGAGUUCAACAGAAAAGCAGUGAUUGUACUUGAAAAACAGAGAAUUCAAUUGCUAAAAUGUCUCACUUUCGGAAAUGAAAGUAGUACCUGUCCGUAUCAUGGCAUAUAAUGGUGUUUUAUGGACAGAAUACUUUGGCAACUAUUGAUGCCUUGUAGCUUAAUAUGACCAUGAUGCAAGGGUUGUAGUUUUCUUUUGUUUGUUUCUGGUUCUUUUUUUUAUUCUUUUUUUUUUUUGGCUUGCUUGUUGUGGAACCAGAGGCAAUGGGCUACACACUGCAAGUAGCAAUCCCUCAUGGCCUAGAUCCCUGUGCAUCAAAUUUCAUUCGUACUAUUUGAGUUACUCAUUCACCGUCCCUUCCUGCUCCAGGCUUUUCUUAAUCAUCAAAUUGGUUGCUGAUAUGCUUAAAAUUCAGAACUUUCAGAAUAAAUGGUCACUGGGAUGGAAUAUUUUGGCCAGAAUGUGCAGUUCUGGUGAAAUAAUAAAGGAGACUGCAGAUCCAACUAAAAGGAUAUGUAAAAUUAUGAUUUCUUGCCCAAAAUUAGAGCUUGAUACUUCCCUUAGUGAAAGUGGGAUCAGGGUAUCACCAAUUGUGGUUGAGAAUGUCCUCAAGAGAUUUGAGAAUGCUGGAAUGCUAGCUUAUCAAUUUUUUGAAUGGGCUGGAAAGCAACGAAAUUACACGCAUAGUAUCAGAGCUUACCAUACCAUGAUAGAGUCUCUGGCUAAGAUAAGGCAGUAUCAAAUCAUGUGGGAUCUUGUAAAUAAAAUGAGGAGCCUGAAGAUACUAAAUGUUGAGACGUUUUGCAUUAUAAUGAGAAAGUACGCGAGGUCUCAGAAGGUGAAAGAGGCAGUUUACACAUUCAACAUCAUGGAAAAAUAUGAUGUUCCUCCAAAUCUGGCAGCAUUUAAUAGUCUUUUAAGUGCUCUGUGCAAGUCCAAGAAUGUUGUAAAGGCUCAGGAGAUCUUCAAUGGUAUGAAAGACCAAUUUAUUCCUGAUUCAAAAACUUAUAGUAUAUUACUUGAGGGGUGGGGAAAGGCUCCAAAUCUGCCCAAGGCGAGAGAAAUUUUCAGAGAAAUGGUUGACAUGGGUUGUGACCCUGAUAUUGUGACCUAUGGUAUCAUGGUUGACAUACUUUGCAAGGCAGGGCGGGUUGAUGAAGCAGUUGGAAUUGUUAAAGAAAUGGAUUCUAGUGUUUGUAAGCCAACAUCUUUUAUUUAUAGUGUUCUGGUUCAUACUUAUGGGAUAGAAAAUCGAAUCGAAGAUGCCGUUUAUACGUUUUUAGAUAUGGAAAGGAAUGAAAUUGAGGCUGAUGUGGCAGUUUAUAAUGCAUUGAUUGGUGCUUUCUGUAAAGUAAACAAACUCAAGAAUGCAUAUAGGGUUUUAAAUGAGAUGGAUUGCAAGGGGAUCAGACCUAAUUCCAGGACCUGCAAUAUUAUCCUAAACAGCUUAAUCAGUUGUGGGGAUACUGAUGAGGCUUUUAGGGUCUUCCGCAGAAUGAUCAAGGUUUGUGAUCCAGAUGCAGACACAUAUACAAUGAUGAUAAAAAUGUUUUGUGAGAAUGAUAAGCUAGAGAUGGCUCUUAAAGUGUGGAAAUACAUGAGGUUGAAGCAGUUUGUUCCUAGCAUGCAUACUUUUUCAGUUCUUAUUAAUGGACUGUGUAAAAAGGGUAAUGCUUCCAAGGCUUGCAUCUUAUUGGAAGAGAUGAUAGAGAAGGGUAUUCGGCCAUCAAGUGUGACAUUUGGGAAGUUAAAACAAUUACUUAUAAAGGAAGGGAGAGAAGAUGUACUUGAAUUUCUUCAAGAGAAAAUGAAUCUCUUGGUCAAGGAGCCUUUAUGUGAUCAAGAAAUUAUUGCUAAUGAGCUGAAUAUACUGAUCAAUGUUGCUGAGUAGUCCGUACCUGCAAUGGAGAAUUCUGGAGUUGAAAGGCCUGGGAACCACCCCUGACUAAUAAGAGUGGCAUUUGGUAAUUACAGGUCAGUGUUUUUAACUUUUUUUCAGGCCACAUUCCGGAUUUUAUUUGAAACUUCAAUUGGGUCAUUUAACUACUUGCUUAUUUUUAAUUUUUUUCAUUUGAACUUGUAUUUAAUGUCCCUUUUUCUCGUAUUUAUACAUAUUUUAUUGUGCUUAUUUAAUGGAGAACUACACUGUUAUACAUCCUUGUACAUCUUUUGGAAAUAAAAUCAUCCUUACUGUCAAAAGAUGUUAGUGAAAGUUGAAAACAGAAUCUUUUGGUGAUCAUUUUUAUGAUUUUUAGUUGAAGAUAAUGCUGUUUGCAUUAGUUGAUUAAUGAGUCUCAAAAUUUUUCUGAGAUUUAUAGCAAAGCUCUUUUUUAAUCUAGGAAACCAUGUAGUUCUUUAGUAUUGAAGGAAUGCAAUCUUGUUUCUAUCAUAAAAUUCUGUGUACAUCGAGGGUUGCAGUAUACACUUAAAGAAUGGAAAAAUAAAAAAUAAAGAAGAAAAAUAUGCAACACAGGCACCUCUGAAGAGCUGAUUUGGGAGGUGGUGGUUCCUACCUACCAGGGUACAUAUUUGAAUAUUUUUCACUUGGAAAAAGCUUUCCAAGCUUUGCAGAUCAAAUUUAUAUCGUACUCAUGCUUGUGCUGGGUCUUGAUCUCUCAUUUGUUAAAAAACUACACUGCAAAGAAGAUCGAAAUGCCUCAUGGCUAAGAGGCCAUGGCCUAUCUGGUAAUCUUGGAAUGUCAAUAUCACCUUCCAGCAUCUUUAGAGCCUCUGCAAUGGUAGGUCUAAAAGCCACCAUUACAUGUGCGCAAAGAAUCCCAACGAGAACAAAUCUCUCCAUGACACCUUUUGGUCCUUCCUUUCUUAUGAAGUUGUCAAAAACCUCUUCCACUUUUCCUGAUUUCACAAGCAUCCAAGCCCAAUCUGUGAUCAAAACCAUGGAAGAACUUGAUGUAUCCAACACCUUCCUCCCACUCAUAGUUUCAAGAAUCACGAUCCCAAAGCUGUAAACAUCGCUUUUUUCUGUUAAUUGUCCAUAGAGAGCAUACUCUGGUGCUAGAUAUCCAUGUGUACCAGCUACCCUUGUGGUGAGAUGAGACUGACCUUCUCUACUUUGCUUGGCUAACCCAAAAUCUGCCACUUUUGCUUUCAUUUCCAAGUCCAAAAGUAUGUUAGUCGUCUUGAUAUCUCGAUGAUAAAUGGCAGGUUUGAUUCCAUCAUGCAAGUAAGCGAGCCCUUUUCCUACAUCAAGAAUUAUAUUCUUUCGCUGAGGCCAAGUUAGUUCCUUCCUGCUAUUGCUAGAGUUGAAAAGAUGAUCACUUAGGUUACCAUUCAACAUGUAAUCACAAACAAGAUAUCGCCUUUUACCUUUACAGUCGUCACUUGUAACGCAGCAACCCCGAAGAGAAAGAAGGUUCCUGUGCCUUAUUUUGCUUAUGAUCUCAACCUCAUUGGAAAAUUCCUCAUCACCUUGAGAAUCCAAAUCAAGAAUUUGUUUCACUGCAACUAAAGUGCCAUCAGAAAGGGUGCCCUUGUGUACAACCCCAUAUGCGCCUUGGCCAAUAAAAUUCUUCUGUGAAAAUCCAUCUGUGGCUCGUUCAAUUUCAGCGAUAUGAUACCAUUUUGCACCAGUGUUGGGUAAAACUCUAGCCUGCAUGCUGCUCACAAAUUCUUCAUGGAAGGCGUUUUUCUUCUUCUUUUGCCAAAUCCUGUACAGCACCACUGAUCCCAAGGCAAACAAAACAACCAGAAAAGCACCCAAGAACCCGAAAAUCAAUUUGAAUAAAGUCUCUUGGCUCAGAUGAUUAGAGGUUUCACCAGUUUUGGAGUUAGACAAAGGCAAGCCUAGUAUGCAAGCAGCAGUCGUGCCAUCCUGAGGGCCUAACUCAUUAACAAUGCCUGCAGCAUACAGAAUAGUGAAGUAAAAGCAUUUAGUGGAAUUUGGAGCAAGAGCCCGCAACUGGGAAUUCACCUUCAUCCCAGCAUCGAGGCAGGAGCCGCACUGGACAAGUCCAGUCAGGUCCUUGCAAGAUGAAUCCAAGGCCGUCUUUUCCCCAACCCUUUUGAUCCAAUCUUCUUUCGUGAUGAUUCCAGCACAGCUCGAGGAAUUAGCAACAAACUGAGUCGAGUUCUUGAAGCAUAGAGAGACUAAAGACGGUUGGAACGCCAUGGCAGAGAGCCUAGUCUGCAAUUCUGAGAGGCAAGAAGAUGAGACAGCAGCAGUGGGGAGCUGAAACAUGGAAGUUUCUUUCAGGUGCUGUGCAAGGCCCAUGCCAAAGAGACUGAGAAGGGCCAUGCAGCAGUGGUCUUGAUCCCCAUCGCGGCACGAAGAGGUGUCCCAUGGGUAGGUCUCGACAUAGCCAAGAUCUAUGGGACAAGAAGAAGAUGCAGAAUCAACUGAGAAGACGAAUAGAGAGAGGGAAACAAUGAAAGAGAUCAAGAAUACGAAGGUGCCCAUGUUUUCCUCUCAAAAUCAUGCAGUGGGGAUAUGUUGUGGAGGCUUUAUACAAAAAGUGAUGGAACCAUCAACAUUGGCUGCUCUGCGAGUCAAAAGGCACGUUUGCAAUAGAGGAGUUGAACCAACUUUAUUCUAAGGUUCCAACGAGAAACACAAAGUGAAGGAAAUUUCGUUGUUUGGCAUGUAUUCAAAGUUUUGCUGCAACAUUUAUCUGAUACAUUUUGGAGGGGUCAAAGUCAAUACAUUUGAAAGUUCAGAAUGGUGCAGUAACCUACUAUCCCACCUAGAGUUGAAGGAGGAACAAAAGUGUGAAAUCCUUUUAAUUACAAAAGGGGCAUGGCAUUGACUCUGGGUCAAUAGGAAAAAAAAUGAUCAUGAUAAUGACAUUCUCCAAACGUAAUAUAAAUACAAUUUGCCACGUUGAUUGAAUUUGAAAGCUAAAGCUAAUAGCAACACGAUUUAUAGCACUGAUUGAAUUUGACUAAAUAAAGGAUAUAUGAGACGUUGGAAUUCAAAAAAUGAGAUGGAGUGUUCAAAGGGGUAGUGAUGAUUUGAAAUAUUUAAAAUAAAGUUAAGAAAUUAGAGAGAUUUUUUUUUUUCCCUUCAAAAAGGGAGGAAAUUGGGAAAUGAUUUACCAAGUUGAAAAUAUUUGAAAAAUUAUAAGUAAAUAUUUGAAAGUGAGAAAUCUUGCAAAAAAGCACGAGUGACCAUACAAAUGUGUUAGACACUAAACAAGGGUAUGGACAUAAGAUAUUGAACAUUGUGCAAAUGUUUUAUAUUAAUAUAACAGGCACGGGAGAAGGAGAUGAAUAUAUAUUUCUCUUAAGUAUGCUAUGGUUAUUUCAUUGAGGGGUAUUUUUGUCCUCAAAAAUAUAAUUAUUUAGAUAAGUAUAAAGUGAAAUCAGAUGGAUACACAUGUAAUUUCACUUUAAUUUAUAAGAAAGAUUAAUUACCAUCAUCUUUUUAUAAUGACUAAAAUAACACUAUUUUCAUACCUAUUUUGAAUUUAAAUAACUAAUGUAACAUAUUUUAUAUCAUUCCAAUCUCAAAAUUAUUAAAAUUAGUCUACUGUUUUCUUGAUUAAUUAUAAUGAAAAAUUACAAAAAAAACAUAAAAAUAUUGAAAAUUAUAUUUCUUUUCGUUGUAAUUAAAGUUCAAUAAAUAUUUUUAUAUUUAUUUGAUUAAUUUUAUUUUAAAAAACUUAAGUCUAAGAAAACUUAAUCUAACUUAUCACACAAAAUUUAUUUUAGGUUAUAUAAAAAGUUUUUUCAUGUUUAAUAGAAUUAUUGUAAUAUUAAUUUUUUGUUUUAAAAAUUAUGAUUAAUUUUUUUUAAAGAUUUAAUGGGUUUAUGGGGCCCAUGAACCACUGAAAAAAAAAAAUCCAUGGUGCAUUCACAAAGGGGGUGGUGGCACAGCUCACCUCAAAUGUUGAAAUAAUAAAAAGUAGAAUCUUUGUAAAUAAUAAAUAUGCAAAUAUUAAAUUUAAUUUUCGAAAUAAUAAUAAUAAUUCAAUAAUUCACAUCAAGGGAUUCUUGAAUUACAAGAAUUAUUAUUUUAAAUUUCAAAACCAACAUAAUUAAAAUUCAGGAUUGUCCCACUUGCCAAGCAAUCAGAGCUUUUAUGAGCUGUGAAAAUGUCAGCAUCCAAAGCAGGGGUUGUGUCAUGUCGGUGGUGCAUCAAACCACAUAUGAAAAAUAUGUAAAAAUGGGAACGCUUUCAUUGUAGAUCCAAACAUUUCCUAAUGACAAAGCUGAUUCAGAGGGGAAAUUGCCGGCAAAUAAUCCACGCCCAACAUUGUUCAUCACCCAAUUCCCUCCGAGUCGUCUUCAUCAUCUGAACCCAAAAGCCCUUCCAUUGACAAAUCCUUUUUUAUUUAUUUUCCCAUCUUGCUCAUACUCAUAUCAUAUCCACCAUGGACGAGUUUGGUCGUUUAACCCAGAGUUUCGGCCUCAAACCACAGGGAAAAUCGGCACCCAUGGCCGCUUUGAAGCGACCCAGCACCACCGGCAAUGACGGAGCCUUCAAUUUUGAUGUCGGAUCGGGGGUGCACAGCAAUGGCGGUUCUGGGGUUUCUCAGAAUUUUGGGGGUUUGGAUGAUUACGAUGAUAUUUUUGGGGGACGCAAUAGGAAUUCAAAUACAUGGGGUGGUGGCGGUGGUGGUGGGUCUUUGCUUGAUCAUGAUUCGGUGUUUGGAAAUUUGAAUAGUUCUGGGGCGAAUCGCGGUGGUUCUAAUUAUGAUGGAGAUUUUUUUGGAGGGAUUUCCGAGGUGAAGAGCUCGGGGACGGUGAAUUAUAAUGAUGUAUUUGGGUUUACGGAUUCCGGGUCCAAGCAGAGUGAUCAGUUUGAUGAUUUUCUUGGGAAUUCGGGCGGUGUGGAGAAGAAUGCGCCUCGGGGUUUUGAUGAUUUGAUACCAGGGUUUGGUGGGAGCGGCGCUGCCAAGAAAGGGUAUGUGUUCCAUUGUUGGUUUUACCGAUUGGAGGUCAAAUGCAGUUUUAAAUGAAUCUAUUGAGGAAUCUAAGAUGUUGGAAGGCUUAGGUAAUGUUUAUGAAAUUUGGGGAAUGUCUUUGAAAGAUGCCGCUGCUUGAAUGAUUUAAACACUAUAUAUUGGAAACUUGUCUGAUAGGAGUUUUUGGGAAGAGUUCUUGUAGAGAUUUGGGACAUUUGAUUAGAUUUGGAUUGACUAAAGUAAAAUGCAACAAUUUCUUUUUCUGCAAAAUUAGCAGAGAUUUGGAAAACCUUGGUGGUGAUAGUUUUUUUACUUAAUUCUAAAUAGAACCUUAAUGUUUAAUGGUGUUAAAUAUCUUGUUUUGUAGUAUUUUAAUUAUAUUAAGUAUUAAAAAGUAAAGAAAAACCAAUAUGUUAUUUUUUCUAUUUAGAAAAUAUCACGUAGUUUGGCUUUUUCUAUUUAGUAAAAAAUUUAUAAUAAGUUAUGAAAAAGUAGAAAAACAAAUAAACUAAAUUCUGAAAACAAAUUAUUUUAGUAAAAAGUCAAAAACAAACAGCACCUUAGUCUGAUUUGGUUCCAGGUAGGUCAAAAUUUGCCGGAUGUUAUAUUCUCGAGACCAUAGUAACCAAGCAGUCACAAGAAGGGAUUUUUCAUAGUCAUUUUACAUUUAUACUUAACUUGGUUAUGUAAUUAUAAUUUGGUGAUGUUGGUGACUCUGAAUUCCUUUAGUUCUCUUACUCUGGGACUGGAAGGAAUAAAUCAAUCCAGUUUACUAAUAUACAUAACUCGAAAAGCAGUACUUCCAGUUAUCAAGAGCUGGCUGCACCAAUCUUAUUUUGCCAUUCUGCUGCUUGAAGGUCAUUGUUGUGUUGUUCAUAGUCAAUUUAUCCUCUCUCUACCGCAAUCAGCUUCUGGUUCUUUUUUUUUUUCAUCUCUCUUUUCCUUGCUGCACGGUUAGCCUGGAACUUGAUUCUUCUCAUUGGUGCAGUCAUUGUUCUUUGUUUUGUGUGGUCAAACCAUCUUAAUUGUCUUUCUCUCAUCUUGUUCCUACCUUUUGUUAUCAGGCUAACACCCUCCAUCAUUACAUGUGGCCUCAUACCCACAUGUAUAAGGGGAAAUUAGCAAUUAUGGAUUACAAAUAAAUAGAUAGGGGAAACAGUAGGAAAGACUCAAACUCAGACCUCUAGUUAACCAUAACUUUGAUACCAUGCUGAACUACCAAUUUUCCUAAAAGUUUAAACUGUUAGGUCAUGGACUCACAAUGUUUUUUUUUUUUGGAUAGGGUCAUGGACCCACAAUGUAUACCAGGCUGACAAAUAUGUUGGUUAUUGGCUUCCCAACAUUCAAGUUUGUAAAGCAUGGCUGAUUUCGUAGUUGAGUUUCCCUUCAAAUUGCUUGUUCAACUGCAUUUGGGAAUCUUGUUUCUGCUGUUGGGAAUUUAUGUAUGGAGUUAGGAGCACUGAAUAUGUAAAUCAGGAAGUCAAAACUUAUACAUGAAUAAAUAAUUCAAUCAUGUGGUAAAUUAGUAAUAAUAAUUAGAUAUUGUUUGAUUACUUUAUUGUUUAGAUUUCAGAAACAUGCAAGAUGUUUACCUUGUGUCCACAUGCAUUUGCAGUUGCUGGCACAACUAUGAAGAGUCCCGGGUUAGGCAAGGAUGAAUUGAGAUUUAUUUAUUGCAUUUAGCAUUUGGUAGAGAAACCUAUGCUGUAAGGUAGAGCUGGCUAUGUGUCAGUCUAAGUAUGUUCAGGCUGGGUCCUUAAUUGUCUAAGUUCAAUACCAUUUUUCUAUGACCAGAUCAGAAAAGUCUAGCCUCAUCCAUUCUAUCCUAUUUAUUAAUGGGCAAUCCAAAACGAACUUGCCAAUUUAUUAUGAGUAAUGACUGUGAACUUGGAAACUAUAUACAGGUUUUUUAAGUAUAAAUGCAAUGGAACAUAGUGAAAUAGGGUGGAAAAAAGAGUUGAGUGAAGGAAUAAAAAAUACAGGGAAUAUCGAAUGAUAUAAUUGUGUGUUGGAACAGAUUAACCCUUGUUCACCAUCAAUGUUUGAUGGGAAUUAGAUGCUAUGGUUUUCAUUCCAUUUUCAAUUCAAUGUAUUCUGCUAUUUAAUCUGCAAAAUUUAUGUCAUUCACCUCAUCAUCAUCUUAUUUGCACAGAAUGAAUUCAGAGACAAAUAAGCUUAAUCAAUCAGCAGUUGGUUCAACUAAAUCCACAUCCACAUUGGCUGAAGAUCCCUUUGUACUAUUUGAAUCAACUUCAACCCCUGCAGAUACUUCCUCACCAGUGUUUUCAGAUCCACUGGAAGAAAUGAGUAAAAUCAGUAAUUCAAGAAAGGGUUCAUCAUUUAGUAGCGGAGCAUUUGAUGAUAUGGAUCUCCUUAAUGGCUUCGCAAAAUCAAUGCCAACAAUGUCAUCUAAUAAAAGUUACAGUGGUCAGAAUGGAAGUUCACUAAUAGAUGAACCUGCAGAGCAACAAAGUGAUCUGGAAUUUUUUUUCUGUAAGGUUGCUCCCCCAAGCAGUGUGCCAAGGCGUGAGGCUACUAGUGCGGUGAGAACUAUAGUUAUGACAAGUGUAGACAUUUUUUAAGUUAUUUGCAACAACUGAUAUAUUAUGUUUUUUGCUUCCUGACAUAUGUUUCAACACCCUGUUUUUGAUACAUAGUUCCAUGACAGAGGAGUCCCUGAAAUGGUGAGAAAAACAUUUUCUGGGACCUCAACCACUGUGGAUACUGUGGAUAAGGCCUUUUCUGGGACCUCAAACAGUGUAGAUAAGGUUUCUUCUGCUACAAAUGUUUUUGAUGACUUCUGGAAUUUUGGAGGUAACUUGGCUGUUAAAAGCAAUUUUCAUUUAUAGACUGCCAAGGUCUGGGGCUUUUUCUCUCUAUGCUAAUUGCUUCAAUCAUUCUUCCUCCCCCCAUCCCCCCAAAAAAAAGCUGCCCCUUCACCAGGAGAAUUUCAGGAAGUUGAAGGGGAAAGUGAAGAAAGACGAAGAGCAAGAUUCCAAAGUCACCAAAGGACCCAGGAGAGAAUGGUGUGUGUUUUCCUCUCUUUUUUCAUUUAACUAUUCUUUGUUGUCCCCAAUUUAGUUUUUUCCUUAAAAAGUUUGAACCUUUUCUUUCCAAGGAUGCACCAGCAUAUGCAGAUAAGCACACCAAAUUAAAGUCCAUUUGUUGUUUAGAGACUCAAUGGAUUGCAUGCAAUCAUAUUAUGCAGCUUAUAACCAAAUCCAUAUCUCAAAUGCUCCCAACCAACUGCAGCCUCAUUUAAUGCUCACUUUUCUUUUCUUUUUUUGUAUUUACUUUAUAUGGUUUUGAACUUUUUCUCUUUCUAUAUGGUCAGGCUAAAGCACUGGCUGAAAAAAAUCGAUAUGACCUUCAAACUCAGCAGGAGCAAGAAGAGAGACAUGUAAGCAUUUGCAGUGUUAUAAGGAUUAGUUAGACUCUGGUUCUCCAAUCAUCUGUCUUCUCUUUAAUUUAAAGUUCCUUUUUGUUGCUCUUUUAAACUUAUUUUGUGCAGAGAAUUGCUGAAAGUCUAGACACAAAGAUAAAGCAUUGGGCUGCAGGGAAGGAGGGCAAUUUGCGAGCACUUUUAUCAUCAUUGCAAUAUGUGCGUUCUAUUUUUUUUCUUCGCAUUUUAUCUGACUAUUUUUAGGGCACAGGAAAUUAUCCAGUUUUGGUAUUUUUCUUUAAUUUGUUUCUCUUUGCAUCUUAUUUAGUUGUUUUUGUAACCGAGGAUGGUGUAGGAACUAGAUUGUAUGAUAAAGAAGCAAGAUAUUAGGUUUGGUUGAUGGACAUGGAUUCAAAUAAGCUACGUUUUCGUACUUUCAUGUUUGUAUUUCAAAUGAGGUUGCUAAAAAUUCUGGGACAGCAUAGUUACCUUCAACACUCAGGCUAGGUUUUUUUGUUUCUUUAAGGGCAUGUGGGCGGGCCAGGACGCGACAUGGUUCGUUGGGAAAGGAAUGAAGGGGGAAGUUGCUGUGUAGGUGGGUCUGGUGGUAGGGGGCAUUUGUGGUUUGUGUGGGCAUAUUUUGCAUGUGUCUGGUUGUAAUGUCAACAAUUUUGGGUAUUCUGGUUACCUUUGCCCCAAAUGUCUCUUGGUUGGGCAGCUAGGCUCGCAUAGUUUUGUGUGUAUUGGGAUCAGUUUACUCUAUGUAUAUGCAAGAAAUCCUUUUUCUCCCAGUAUUAGUCUGAUUGCUCUACACCCCCCACCCCCCCACCCCCCCCCCCCCCCCAUGAUUUAUAAAGAAAACAAGGGGGAAAAAUGGGGGCCCCCCCUUUUUUUUUUUUUUCCCUUUUCAUUUUAAAAGGCCCACCCAAAAUUGUGGGAAAAUUUUUUUAUGGAAAGAAUAUAUUAAAACCCCCCCCCCCCCNNNNNNNNNNNNNNNNNNNNNNNNNNNNNNNNNNNNNNNNNNNNNNNNNNNNNNNNNNNNNNNNNNNNNNNNNNNNNNNNNNNNNNNNNNNNNNNNNNNNGGGUUGAAAAGCCAACAAUUUGGGGUAUUCGGGUUCCCUUUCCCCCAAAGUUCCUUGGGUGGGGCACCUAGGCCCCAAAAUUUUGGGGUGUAUGGGAACCAUUUUACCCUAGGUAUACCCAAAAAACCCUUUUUCCCCCAGUAUUAUUCUGAUUGCUCUACCCCCCCCACCCCCCCCCCCCCCCCCCCCCCCCCCCCCCCAUGCACAACCACACGUGCAAAUUGUAUUCCUCUUUUUAUUUCUUUUUCCUUUUCUUUUAUAUGUACCUCCAUAUUGUUGAAAUUUUUUAUGUAUAAGAUUAUGUCUAGGCUUACCCACACUUUUUCUGUAAUACUAAAAUGUUUUAUUAGGUGAGUAGGCUCUCACAAAUGCAUAAAACACUAGUUGGGCCCAUCUUCUGCGUCUGUUGACAAUUUUUUUAAAGAAGAUAUCUUAUUUCUUGUAUUUACAACGUACACUUGCCUUUUUAUGCUUAAAUCUCAUAGAACCUUUUGUAUACCCACAAAUUCAGAGUCAAAUGUGUAAAUCUGCAUUUCUUUGUCUUGUGACUCAUCAUGUAGUAAAUGGUUUUUUUCAUUUACAGAAAAAUAUAUAUAUAUAUAUAUAUAUAUAUAUAUAAACUGCCUUAUUGGAUUUAUAUUUUUUCAUAUGACAUUUUACAAGGAAUUUAUCUUGCUAAUAUUUAGUUUUUAAAAGGUAUUUGACACAAUCUUCUGCAUAUAGACAGUCACAUAUGCUACCAUUAUAUUUUACAUGAUUGGACUACUUUCAAUACUUUAAUUUUAUUAUUUAACAUUCUUUUUGCUCUGAAGAAGUGUUAGUCAUCCUUUUAUGCCCCUUAUAUUUGGACUAGGAUAGGUCUUGUUUUAUACUUUAAAUCACUUCCAAACUAUUGGCCAUUUCCAUUAUAUCUCUAAAAUAUUUCCAUUUCCUUACUGACAUAACACAAACAAAUCUUUAAUACUUUAUGUUUCACAAAUUAUAUCAUGUAUGCUGUCGCAAAAUAAGAAACUUAGGACCUUGGUUCCUGAUCAAGUGGUGAGGGGUUGGGGUGGGAAUUUAGGGGGUUUACAAAUUCAAUUCCAUGUAACGGUAGCCAGAAAAACAGGAAAAAAAAAAUUAUAGGAGUUACAAGGGUUUGGAUAGUAGGAGCCAUAAAAACAACAAUUCAAAAUAAAGAGAGGAGGAAGAGGCCCUUGGUUCUUGCAUCAAGUGGUGAAGCCUUGGGGAGGGGCAGGGGUGCAGGCAUAAGAUUAAUCAAAUAACAUGCAGGUAAGACAGCUUCUUACCAGUAGUAGGUACCUUCAUCUCGGUGAGAAGAGCACGGCUCCAAAAGGUGCCGAUUUUUUCCGCUCAGCUACUCCAUUCUUUUUUUGGGUGGGGGGGUGAAUGGGAUGAUAUAGGGGGUUUCCAAUUUGAAUUCAAUGUAUAAAUCAAAAGGAUUCUAGAGGGAGAGGCCACCCUGAAGCAGGGUAUAGCUCAUUUAGUGUGGAUAGUUUAGUACUGUGAGCUAGACAACAAAAGGAAGCCCCUUUACUGUAGAAUUAUGAGAAAUUAUUAGAAGCUGAUUUGCUAACUUCAUUUUUUGUUACAAAAUUGUUAGAAGUGUACAUUGGAACUCCUAGAAUUUCAGAGGAGAAUGAAGUGAUACUCCUACAUUGCAUACACAGUUUAUUUUUGUACUUCUUUCCUUCUAUUAUGUUAUCCACUCUGCCAUCUGGAGUAAUUUUUGCACUGAAAUCUUCUUAAUUUGUACGCAUAUCACAUGAAUCUUCUAUUGGACAUGACAAACAAAUCCCCUUUAUAUGUGGAAUGAUGAACAGGUGCUCGGGCCUGAAUGUGGUUGGCAACCAGUUUCAUUGACUGAUUUGAUUACCUCAGACUCGGUCCGAAAAGUUUACAGAAAGGCCACCUUAUGCAUUCAUCCUGAUAAGAUUCAACAGAAAGGUGCUAGCGUUCAGCAGAAGUAUAUUGCAGAGAAGGUUUUUGAUGUUCUGAAGGUAUGAUGUACCAGUAUUCCAACUAUUUCCACAAAAAAACUCACUUGAAUAUAACCUUACCUGAACCGGGGUGAGAAUGGUAUUAAAUAUAUUAUAGAAUUUUGUUUGUUGAAUGAGUGAGAUGUAUUUUGAUACUAAAACAGGAAGCUUGGAACAAGUGCAAGACAGAGGAAGGCCUAUAAAUAGCUUGGAUGAUUAUUACUAUGCAAGAACUUUUGAGCUGCUUCUUCAACAAUUGCACAAGGAGGUCCGUCCCUCUUUGGGAGGGUGGUAAAGGAGCAAUGGAGCUUUUGUUGGUCAAUGAUGCUGUGAAUCGCCGGAAAAGAAGAUUGACUCCAGGAAACAUGGAUUUAUAGGAGGAUCUGUUCGUUUAUGUUGGAACUUCUACUUAAAAUGUAAAAUGGAGAUAUCGAAGGAUGACUCUGACUUUCCCUCACACACACACACACACAUGGAAAUUCAAUCAGACGUUGCUUGGAUGGGUAUUGGUAUUUAUUUAUUUAUUUAUUUAUUUUUAUUACUUGUGUAAUCUGUUAACUGAGCAAAAAAUUUCCUUCACACCAUAUUUGGAACGAGAUUGCUUUUAUCCACCUUGUUUCUGCCCACUUUUGAUUAAUUUUCCUAUUAUGCCUCUCGCCUAGUAUACGUAACCACUUGCCAUCUUAGCAGCUUUAUCGAACUAAUGACGUAUAUGUGGUUUGAUGAAGGUAACAUAAUGUAAUGGAUAUCACAAAUUUCCUGAUGGUGUUUAUGGCAAUAUUACUUUUUAUAUUCUUAAUUAAUACAAGGUAUAACACAAAAUGUAAAAUUCAGAUAAAAUUAUAUUUUAAUAUUUUCAUAUUGUUGUAAAACAAAGUGGGAGAAGAAGGAAGUAAGAAAAAGAUAAUAGAAUGCAUGGAAAAACUCUAUUGAAUUUCAUUAGGGGUCCUUUCAUUUUAUAGGGGGUUAUACAAGAUAUUUAUGGAUGAUCAUCCACAAGUUACAAUAGUGGUACAAAAUCUCAUAUUUUAUAACACUUCCCCUUGGAUGAUAUAUGUCUCAUUAAAACCUUACUAGAAAAAACCCUAUGAGAAAAAAAACCUAGUUAAGGAAAAAUGGUGUAAUAUUCUUUUGGAUUACUACAACUACCUCAUUAAAAACCUUGCCAACAAAACUCAAUGGGAUAAAACAUAGACGAAGGAAAAAAAAAAAAAAUGCAACAUAGUGAUAUUCUUAUUAAUCAGCUCCCCCUCAUGUAGACAUGAUUAUAUUUUCUCUAGUAGCACAACAUGGAGAUCUUUGAGUCCACGUAUUCCAAUGAGCUUCUUGAGUAUUGCAGUUGACAAUACCUUUGUGAAUAGAUCUACUAAAUUGCUACUUGAUCUUAUUCGUCGAAUAGCAAUUUCAUCACUCUUUUGAAGUUAAUGAAAGUAAAAGACUUUGACAAUAUUUGUUUAAUUCUAUUACCCUUAAUGUAUCAUUCUUUAAUAUGUGUAAUACAUGCAAUAUUAUCUUCAAAUAAUAUUGUUGGGUCACCUUUGAUAGAGGAGAGUCCACAUGAUUCCCGAAUAUGUUGGAUCAUAGAUCUUAGUUAUAUACGUUUAUGACUUGUUUCAUGAAUUGCUAAUAUUUCUGAAUAAUUUGAUAAUGUGAUCACCAAUGUUUGUUUGACAGAUUUCUAUGAAAUAGCAGUACCAUUGUAAUUAAACACAUAUCCUGUUUGUGACCUACCUUUAUGUAGAUCUGAAAGAUAUCCUGCAUCUACCCAAUCAAUUGCGAUUUUAAUUCUUUUGAAUAAUAUAAGCCCAUAUCACUUGUUCCACAAAUGUGUCACAAUAUAUGUUUAAUCUCAUUCCAAUGCCUUUUAGUUGGGGCAAAAUUGUAUCUUGCUAGCAAGUUGACAGAGAAUGCUAUGUUUGGUUUAAUACAAUUUGCAAGAUAUUUUAGUGCACCAAUUGCACUGAGAUAUGGUACUUAUAGACCAAACAAUUCUUCAUUUUCUUUUUUAGGAUGAAAUGGGUCUUUGUUCACUUCAAGUGAACAAACAACUAUGUUGGAAUUGACUGGAUAUGAUUUGUCCAUAUAAAAUUGUUUUAAUAAUUUCUCUUUGUAUGUCGAUUGAUAGACUAAUAUGCCAUUUGAACAAUGCUCGAUCUGCAGGCCGAGACAAUAUCUUGUUUUCCAGGAUCUUUCGUUUCAAAUUUGCUUUUCAAAUAGUUAACUAUUUUUGUAAGCUCUUCAAGAGUUCCAACAAAAUUCAAUGUUCUACAUAUACUUUAAUAAUUGCAAAUAUUCAACAUAAUGAAUAUGCAUAGACAAAUAAGGUAAUACAUACAUACUUCUCACUUCAAAUAUUAAAGUGAUUGUAUCACAUGUCUUUGGAUUGUUUAAUCAAAACAAGGAUCUUUAUAGCUUAAUUGAGUAUAUGCUAUAAUAUUUUGAGUUAGUUGCUUCAAGCAUUUGAAAUCCUUCAGGGAUUUUCAUAUAUGUAUGUCAUUAUCUAAAGAUCCAUGUAAAUAUGCAAUAAUGACAUCCAUGAGACGCAAAUUCAAUCCUUCUAAGAUUGUUAAACAAAUUAGAUAUCUAAAUAUGAUUGAGUUCAUCAUAAGAAAAUAUGUUUCCUCGUAGUUAAUACUAGGUUUCUGUGAGACACCUUGAGCUAUGAGUCACGUUUUAUAUCUCAUGGUUUCAUUUAUAUCCAACAAGUUUGACAACUUCAGGUGUCUGGAUUAUAGGUCCAAAUACUUCUCAUUUUUCUAAUGAGCCUAAUUUCAUUUAUUUAUUUCUAAUGUGAUGUAUUCUUUCCAUUUUGGCCAAUUUUUUCUAUGUUGACAUUCUUUUAUAAUUUCUACUUUGGGAUCCUCAUCAUUUCUUAUGAUGCCAAUAGUCACUUGGAAAGAAAAUAUAUUAUCAAUGAUAAGAGUAUUUCAAUCCCAUUUUUCUAUAUAUAUAUAUAUAUAAGUAAAUAAUUGAGAUCUCAUCAAUAUCAGGUACUUGUACCUUUUCAAGAGCUAAUUGUAAAACAUAUGCCUCUCAUAAGGCUACUUGUUUAAAUUGUGUCUCUUCAGGGGUUGCUUGAGACUGAUCAGUCAUUUUAAUAAAUUACUUUAUAUAGAACUUCUUCAAGAGUGCCACAUUUCCUAUAUCUUUCUUUGUGUUUUCAUCUUUUAGGGAAUGUGUUUGCUUUUUCAGGGUCUACCACUCUUUAAGUGUGCCUUAGAUUUAUUAUUUAAUUAUCCUCAGGGACAUCAAUUCAUUAUUUAAUUGUCCUUUAGGGACGUUAAUUCGUACUGGAAUAUUCUAAGUCAGCGAAGAUAAUUUUUGUCAUUUUCUUUGCAUCAAUGAAAGCAUUUGGUAGUUGAUUUGCAAGUUCUUACAAAUAAAUAAUCUUUUGAACUUCCAAUUCACAGUGAUUAGUAUGAGGAUCAAGAUACGUCAAAGUAAAUGCAUUCUAAAUAAUUUCACACCGUUCUUCUAGAACUGGCUCUUCUCUCCCUAACGGCAAGAAAAUUGUCUCGUUAAAAUGAUAAUCUGCACAACAUGUCAUUUUACUUUUUAAGUGUAUAGGUAGACUAGUCAAUAAACACUUCUAGUUUAUACUGUACAUCCAUAUGACCUUUUACCCCGGGGGACUAAGUUGCUCUUACAAGAUUCUUCUGGAUCUAGUAUCGUAUAAAGUUUCAUUCACAUGGAAUCAAAUACUACUAGUGACAUAGUAUAAGCUCUUCUAGAGUCUUUAAUAAGGUUUUUAUCACCUGAUAUAUUAUUAACAUUGUCUGCCAUCAAUGUUAUGCAAUUAAUGAGACAAGAGUUUCAUCAAAAUAACAAGUCAUAAAACAUUGUUAUAAAAACCUCACCUUUAUAAAGUUGAAGAAAUAUUAUCAUAGAGAAAAAGUUAAAAUCAAUGGAAAAAUAUUAGUCAUUGAUGAUGACUUAAUAAGUUGUAUAAAAACAAUGGGAGCAUAUAUAACACAAUAAAACAAAUAUGAAAAGAUAAAUUAAAGUUAUAUAUUUCUUAAAUAAUCUCACACAUUUGAUUUUGUAAGUGUGAAACAAUUUAUACAUGAAAUAACGAGGAAGUCUUUCAAUAAUCAAACUAAUUAUAGUGAUAGAUCAAUAAUUUUAUUCAAAAUAUUAUUAUGAUCUAAAUCAAUGUGCAAAAAUUAAUUCAUAAAUCAAAAUUUUAAGAGAACAUAUCAUGAUUUAAAGCAUCUUGUUGUCUCAAAACUCUAAUUGAAAUACUACAACUCCAUCUAAAUAUAUAUGUAAAGAUAUAACAUAAUAUAUUGAUAACAAUAGUUAAACCUAUUGUAAUUUCAAAAUUAUUUUUGGAUAAUGAAAUUAUUACAUUAAUAAAAAUACCAUAUGUGACAACAUGCAAUGAUAUAUAUUAUUUUAUAUAACUCAAAAUUUUUCAAUCAUAAAAACAUGUCUUAAAGAAAAUUGACAUGCAAAAUCAAUUUAUUAAUCAUAUGACCAAGUCAUAUAUUUCACAUGUAUCCAAAAAAUGUCAUUUUUCUAAAUCAAAAAAUUAUUGUGUAUUAAACAACUAGAAUAAAAUAUAUAUAUUUCAAACAAUCACCUUUAAUGCAAAAAUAUCAUAUUUUCAUGCAAUCCAAAAUUUCACAUCUAUAUGUAAAUUUUUCCACUAAUGACAGUAUAACUUUUAAUAAUAGAAAUUUAUAAAAACUAUCAAAUACUUACCUAUUUGUAUAACUUGAUAUACAAAAUAUUAAUAUUUUGAUAAUAUGUAAAUAUUAUCUAUAUGCUUGUUAUCAUAGCUUCAGGUUAUAAUAUAUUUUAUUAUAACUUUUGAUUACAUAAAUUUCAUAAAAUUAUACAAAAUUGUUAAUUAACAAUUUUGUUCUCUAUAACUUCUAGUUAUAAGAAAAAUUAUUAUAUAACUUCUGAUUAUACACACACACACAUAUAUAUAUAUAUAUAUAUUCAUAUAACCAGACUAUACAAGUUUUAACAAUUAUUAAUUUACUAACUUUUUCUUCAUAACUUCAUACUAUGAAUAAUUAAAAUUUAAGUAAUAUUAUAAUAACAUUAAACAAUUGGCAAUUAUGUUAUGAUAUAACUUCUGGUUAUAUAAAAAAAUAAAAAAUAAAAAUUAUGUAUCUUCUAGGUACAUAGUUGUUUAUUGACAAUUUUGUAUUAUAUAACUAGAAGUUAUACAAGAGAAUUAAAAAUUGAAUGCAUAGCUUCUGGUUAUGAAACAAUUGUUAAUAAAAAUUGUUUUCCAUAAUUCCCGUUGUAGAAAAUAAGUGAAUAUGAAAUAAAAAUUAAAAGUCAAUAUUUUUCAUAACUUUGAGUUAUGAUUAUUUUGUCAAAACAAGAAAAUAUGCAGUACGUAGUUUCAGACUAUGAACUAUUUUUUUAUGUAAAUGUAUGCAUAACUUCAAGUUAUGAAUUAUUUAUGUAUAACUUCCAAUUACAUAAUAUAAUUAAAAAAAAUUAAAGAAAUUGAAAAAUAACAUCUUUCAUAACUUCAGGCUAUAAUUAUUUUGUUAGAACAAGAAAAUAUUUAAAUUUGUACAUAGUUUUAGGCUAUGAACUAUUUUUUUUUUAAUGUAAAUUUGUGCAUAACCUCGAGUUAUGAACUAUUCAUUGUGUAGAUUUGUGUAUAGUUUUAAGGUAUGAACUAUUCAUUUUAUAGUUUCUGACUAUAUAAUAUUAUUUUGUAUAACUUUCGGUUAUGCUAUAUAAUUAAAAACAAAUAAUUAUGAGUUAUAUAUAUAGUUUCUGACUAUAUAUUUUGUUGUAAAACAAAGUGAGAGAAGAAAAAAGGCAAGAUAGAGAGAAUAUAAUACAUGAAAAAACUCUAUUAAAUUUCAUUAGGUGCUUACAUUUUAGGGAGAAUUGGGCUUUAGACCCAUUUGGUUUUGAUAAUUAAUAAAGAGUCCAUCAAACACUCAUAAUUGAUUACAAGGAUAUGAGAUGGGAAUAGACAAAAAUACCCCAUUGACUCAUUUUUGUCUUUAUUCUACCCCAUUCACAUGCCACUAUUCUUUCUUAUUUAACCAUUUUUAGAUUUUUCAUUAUUUUUUUAAGCUCUUUUAUAAAUAUUGAAAAAUCAACAUUAUUUUUUUAUUUUUAAAUUAUAAAUAAACAAAAUUUAUAUUAAUGAUUCAAAGACUAUUUUGGAAAAUACUUUCUAAAAAAAUAUUAAUUUAAAUAAAUAAAAAUUACAUUUUACAUUUAUUUUAUCUUUUAUAUUUUAGAAGUAAAUAAUUUAAUGAUUAAAAUACUAUUUAAAAUAAAUAUAUUCACUAUUUUAUUUUUUUAUAUUAAAAAGUAUUUUAAAGAUUUUUUUAUUAUUAUAAAAUAAAAAGUUUAAUUUUUUUUAAUCUUCUUUCUUCCUUAUUUUAAUAACUUUUUGAACAUGACUUUUAAUAAUAAGUUAUAUGAAAUGUUACAAAUUUGUUUAUUAAGGAUUUAUUUUAAUGAUUUGAAUUAAUUGAAAAUUUAUUAAAAUAAGAAAAAGAAAAAGAAAGAAAAAGGAUGGAUGAAAAGUUUUUAUUUUAAGUACUUAAUUAAAAUGUUUUCAUAUGACCUAAUUUUAGAAGUGGAUUAUAUCAAUACAUAAUAGAGAUUGAAUUUUUCUUAUAUAAAAUGGUUGAAAGGUAUAUUUACUUAUUUUAGAUGAAAACAAGUAGUUAAAAGUUAUAUAGAUUAUAUUUGAGUUUGGUUUUAAAAUAUUUUUCUAGUUUUUAUUUUUUAUUUUUAAAAAUAAUUUUUAUUUUCUAUAUUGUCUUUUUUUGAAAAUAUUUUUAAUUAAAAAAUGAAAAGUAUUUUUUUUAAAUGAAAAUUGAAAACCUUGUUUAGUACUAUUUUUUUAUAUGAAAAUAAAAAAAUAAUAAAUUUUAUUUAUUCAUUUAUUGCAUCACUGUACAAUUGUAUUACACUAACUGUACAAGGGAAAUGUACUAAAUGUACAAAGGUGUACAAGGCUACCAUUUAUGAAAUAUUAUAAUCGAUUAUGAGUCAUUCCUUAUUCUUUUUAUCACUCACAAAUUGUACACAUAUGUCAUGUACUUUAUUUAAUUCCUGCAUGGAAAUUCCAAUAUUUUUCCUAAUAAUAAUAUUUGGAGAAAAAAAUUUUUGACCUUAAAUCAUCUACCAUCUUCUCAACUAAAUCAUUGGAAAUAUAGUUAAACACUCCUACGUGGAUACAUAACUUAGAAGGGAUAUAAAAUUUGUGUCAUUGUACAAGGGUAUUACACUAACGGGAAAUGUACUAAUUGUACAAAGGUGUACAAGAUUACCCUUUGUGAAUUAUUUUAAUCAAUUCUAAACCACUUUUUUAUUUUCCUUGUCACCCAAGGAUUGUAUGUCUAUGUCAUGCAUUUUAUUUAACUCUCACAUGAAAAUUCUAAUAUUUUCCCUAAUAAUGAUAUUUGGGGAAAAAAAAGUUGAUCCUAAGUCAUCCAUUAUUUUCUUAACCAAACAAUUGAAAAUAUUAUUAAUACACCUACAUGAACAUAUAACUUAUGAGAAAUAUGAAAUUUGUGUCAUUAUACAAGGGUAUUACACUAAUUGUACAAGGGAAAUGUGCUAAGUGUACAAGGGUGUAUAAGACUCCUAAUAGGUUUUGUACAAUUUUUAAUUAACUUGAAUUUGACAUUAAGACGAUUAUUGAUAGUUUUUUUUUUUUCUUUUUUUACCAAACUAUGUCAUUAAGACAUUCCCUACAAAAAUUAACAUAUAGGAAAUAAAAUUAAAAUCAAUCAUGCUAGAAUUGUUCAUUAUAAGUAAACUAAAUGAAAUAUAUAUUUUUACUAUUUUGCCUUUAUAAACAUAAUUUCAUUGUUAUCAAUAAAGAUUAAAAAAAUCAUAUUUAAAUGGAAUUAUAAAUAAAUAAAAAUUAUUUUUAUAACAUUUUUAUUUUUUUAAAUCAUUAAUUUAAAUUAUGAAAUUAGUUUUAAAAUUAAAAAUAUUUUUUGUAAUUAUAGUUUUGAAGAUUUCAUGAUUUUUAUCAUAUUACUUUGAAAAAAUUGCUUUAAUAAGAAAGUAUUUAUUUAAUGGUUUUAAAUAUUUAAAUUUUUAUUCAAAAAUAUUUAGGAUUAGUGUGGAGAGCAAUUAGGUAAUUUUGGAAUGGAAAAAUUUUGAAUAUUUUUGAAGACUUUAAUUCGGCCAAUUACCCUAUUUACACUUUCAAAAUUAUUGGAAGGUUGGUAAAUUAGUCUUAAAAAUAUUGUCUUCUUGAUUAAUAUUAUAUAUAUGCAUGUAAGUGUUUACAUAAUUUUUGAAAAAAUAAUAAACACCAUGUGUCUAAUUUGCAAGUUAGAAAAAAAAAUAAUAAUAUUUUAUGAGAUAUUUAAAAAGUAUUUAUUAUAUGUUCUAUAAAUUUAAAAAAAAUAUAAUAUUUGAUGAUAUCUAAUUUACAAGUUGGAGUAAACAAAUAAUACAAAUAUUUUAUGAGGUGUUUAAAAAUUAUUUAAUAUAUAUGAGAAAUAAUAUAAGUUUAAAAUAAAGAAUGAUAUUUACUAUAUAUUAUGUAAGUUUUCAAAAUAUUUAAAAAAUAUUUAUUAUAUAUUAUGUAAGUUUGAAAAAAUAAUAAUAUUUGAUGAGGUAUUAAAAGUUAUUCACUUCAAAAAUAUAUUUGAUAAUAAUAAUUUUUAAUCAUCUUUCAUAUUUGAGGAAGAAAAAUAAUUCAAGUUUGUUCAACUAUUAAACGGGUGAGAGAAGGACAAAAGAGUCAAAUAGAGAAUGAGAAAGGUGAGGUGAGUGGUUACUUUUUUUAUUUAAUAGUCAAGGGUGUUUUAGGGAUUUUUUAAAGACAAUAUCCUUAUUCUCAAUUUUUACUCUUUCAUUGAGUGUUGGGCUUAAAUAUGAAACUUAUAUGAACUAUACAUUAAUUUUUGGGCCCAGCUGGGCCAAAACACAAUUUUUCCUACAUUUUAUAAAGAGUUAUAAUUUUAUAAGGAGUUACACUUUUAUAAGGAGUUAAGGAGUUAUACGAGAUAUUUAUGGUCAUUAGAAAGAGUGCGAAAGAUUUGACAUAACCCCAGCAGAAGAAGAGGAGGCAGAUAAUGAUGCAGAUUUCCAUGGAAAGGAACGACCGUAUGUACACAGUCACCGUCGGCAAGCAACCCAUCGUCACUCUAUGGGCUUGGUGGGACCAGGAGGUCAAGGAAUUCAUCCGUCAAGUACGCAGAAUCCACGGCAAGAGGAACACCCAAGACCUCAUCGUGGGCCUUUGGGCUGAUCACAGCGCCAACUACUCCGGCGGCUACAGCUACUACUACGACAGCAAAAGAGGUACCUUUAUGCCUAUAAUAAUAAUAAUAGUAAUGCGUUUUCAUGAAUCAUUGCUUAUUAGUUAGUUAAACUCAUGUGAAUCCCACUUUGAAAUACUUUAAAGGCGGCGGCAAAAACAGGCCCUUGGAGGUGAUGGCGCUGUGCGUGGGGCAUCACUGCCUUCUCAUUGAACUACAAGGCGGUUGCAGCGAAGGGAAAGUCCUUAGAGAAAGGAAAGUCCUUAGAGACUUUCUCUUUGAUCGGCACACGGUUGUGGUGGGCGUGGGGACGGAGCGCCUGGCGAAGAAGCUGGAGGAAGAGUAUGGGAUAUUGAUCCCCAGGAGGGUGGAGCUGCUAGGGUUGGCCCAGGCGGACAGGGGAUUGCAGCAGGAAGAUGGAAACAGUUUGAAUCUGAGUAGGUGCAGUUUGGGGGAGUUGGCGAGGGUGGUGUUGGGGGAGGAGGUGAAUUACGUGAGGCCCACCAAGAUCCGUUGGCGGGAGAAUCAGUUCGAUUGGGGCCCGUUUUCCAACGACUUGGUCAAGUGUUCCACUGCUGAAGCUUUUCUUGCUGCUCAGAUGGGGGCUAAGCUGUUGAAGAAUGGCCCUCACACAUGAUCCUGGCAUUAGGGUUUUAGGGUUAGUAACCUAGGGUUUCACUCUUCUAUGAUUUUUGUUUUAUUUUUAUUAAUCACAAUUCAAUGGUUAGGGUUUCGAAUUGAUUUUGAUUUGGGCACAAAUCCAAAACAACAAACGCCCGAAAUGGUCUGCGCUAAUUUAGUUUUUGAUUUUGAAAUCGUAAAUAUAAAAAAUAACAACUUUUAUUUUUCCUUUGUGUGAGUUCCUAUUAGGAUUAGGAUUAGGAUGGUAAACCUGAUAGUGAUCAUAAGGACUAUGUACUUAAUUAGUUACUUUUUUAAAAAAUAAGACUUAAUUUUAAAUCACAAAAAAUUACAUUGAUAUUGCUCAAGAUUCUCUUCAUCAUCCUCCACCUCUCUUGUAUCAUUUUUCUGAUCUAUUUUAAUUCUUUCUUUAAAAAUAUAUUAUUUUUGUUACUUAAAAUUUUAAAAAUUAAAUAAAUAAAUAAAAAUCAAGAAAAUCUUAUUUAUACAAAGAAAAACUUUUUUUUUUAUCAUCUUUUAAUUUAAUUUGUUAAUUUUUUAAUUCUAAUUUAUGACUUUAAAUGUAAAAUUUAGUUUGGAACGAAGUUUAUAAAAAUAAUUUAUUGAAUUUAAAUUUAUGUUUUAUUUUCUUAAUUGUACGGAACAUGGACACCGAUCUCUCAUAUAUUAACUUCUUUCUUGCAUCUUGGUUGUGCAUGACAACUAUGACGUGGGUUGAUAGUUGACACAGGAUUUUAAGCAACUAUUUUAUAAGAGUUGCAUCAAUGACUUUAUAUAUGAAUUAAGCAGCUUUUUUCUUUCUUUUUUGGUGAAAGAAGACAUCAUGCACGAACAUGAGAGGGAGAGGGAGGUCCAUGAUCGUUUGGACUUCCAAAAGCAAAAGCUCUUUUGGAUAAAGAUGUGAAUGAGUUACUUGUAGUUUUUGCGGAACUCCACUUAAUAAAAGAUUGAAACAAUGACUUAUUUGGUUAUCUUUAAUAUUUGAAUCCCAUGCUUAAUCACACUUUAACAGCAGUUACUGGAAUCAGCUUCCCUUUGGCUAUGAUUUACUUGGAAACCAGCAAACCACACACCAAUGUUCCUACGCCUGACGUCAGAAAUUUGAAAAACCCAGCUUCGGGGCAUAGGUGUGACUUGUGAGUUCAUCAGAAAAUUGAAGUAGAGAGCUUUACUCCAUCCCAUAUGCUCUGGUAUGAUUCUGAGGCAAAAGGAUUCAAUGGAGCAGCUUUUCCCGAUAAGGGAACCACUAUGGUGUAAAUAGUGUGGUGCUCCUUGGUGGUCCACAUUACUUAGCCCCCAAAAUCCACCAUGGGAUGAUUAAUAUGUUGGAAUUUUUAUGUGUGGACUUAUAUAAUCAAUUUAAUAAUAUUAUAAAUCAAUGUUAAGUUAAUUUUUGUAUUGUGGUCCAUAAUGGGACUUGACACAUAUUAUUACUUGAUUUUUUAUGGAUUCACCUAAUUCACUUGACUGGCCGAUUAAGUCAAGUGGUCCAAAUAAAAUGUAUAAUGUGUAAUAUAUAUAUAUAUAUAUAUAUAUAUAUAUAUGCAUUUAGAGAGACUCCUUUUCUUCUCCACACACACUUACACUUCGACUGAAUUUUUGGGGAAGAAAAGGAAGGGCUCAUUGAUCCCUAAUUCUCAUACCAUCACGCACCUAGAACAACAUCUUGGAUAUCAGAGGAGGAAUAAAUGACUUUUCAUGGCAUAAAUCAAGGUAAUCGGUUCAUUUUUUGUCAUUAAAUGCAUGCUUAAAUGUUAACAUGUGAUCCUAUGCUAUUUCAAUUCUCUUCAUAAUGCCCCAAGUAAUUGGGUCACCGAUCCGCCGUGGUGGGUUUCGGGCGAGAUGGGUUGCUUCUUAAAUGAAAGAAAGAAUCAUAUGAACAGGUAGAUGAGGGAGUUACGGUCCCUUCCUCAGCUACCUAUCAUUCAUUUGCAUCAAUGUAGGAAGCCUGGACCCCUUGUGUAUGCCUUUUUGCAGCCUUCCAGGAAACCCCAUUUCUCUGGGUACAAUGUAAUGGGCCAUAAAACGGCCCGUUAGGUGGAUCAGGGGCCCAAUACAUAAUUGAACGGUCAGAUUGCCAUGAGAAAUGGGAGUAAAAUAUGAAGCUUUUUUAUUAGAUGUGCAUAUAGAUGAAUCAGGGAAGCGCACUAUUUCCAAAUCAACAUCACUUUUAGACAAGGAAGUUCCUCUGCAACUCUCCCCUCCCUCUUCUUCUUGGUUCUCUCAAGUGGUAACACACCCUGUGUUUGUUUGAGCUGAAACCCCAUUUUCAGAUCUCUCCUCCAAUGGCUAAAACCAGAAACCCGAGCAAGUCAUAAAGGAAAGCUGCACAAAGCAAGACCAGGUACCCCAAAAAUCAGAGAAACCUCCCUCUUUCAGAUCUCUCCUCCAGUGGCUAAAACCAGAAACCCGAGAAAAGUCAUAAAGGAAAGCUGAACAAAGCAAGACCAGGUACCCCAAAAAUCAGAGAAACCUCCUCCUUGGGCGGUUGUGAGAAGCCUUUUGACCUGCAAACACCUCCAGACUCAACAACAGAAGCAGCGAGAACAAACCGUCCAGGGAAGCGGCAAGAAGUGCAAGAAAAUGAAGUGUUCCGGUUCACUGCGCAGCAACUCAAAGGUCAUGCCCAGGCCUGAAAUGUCUUCACCAGAAGACCACAAGAAAAGGACGUCGAUGGCUUCAUCCAACAAUGACGGUUCCAGCAGAUCCAUGAAAGCUCCUCUUAGUGAACUCAAUGGGGUUGUUUCCUCCACUUCUUCUUCAUUGUCUGCGUCUUCUAACUCUUCUUUUGGUGGGUCCUUUAAAGGAAUGCCUCUCAGGAGACUAUCUGGGUGUUAUGAGUGCAGAAUGGUGGUUGAUCCGGUUCUUGGAAUCACUAGAGACCCUUCUUUGAGAACCACCAUCUGUUCCUGUCCUGAUUGUGGUGAAAUCUUCAUGAAAGCUGAAAUUUUGGAGCUUCAUCAGGCCGUCAGACACGCCGGUGAGUACCCACUUCCAGGUUUCAGUCAAUGAUCGGUUUUUUUUUUAAAAAAAAAAAAGAAGAAAAAAACCAAAGAAAUCUUAAUUCAUUUAUGCUUAAUAGUAUUAUUUUUGUAAUAUUUUAUUUUUACUAAACAUUAAAAUUAAAAAAUCAAUAUAUUAUUAUUAUUUUUAGUUUUUUCUAUCCAAUAAAAAAUUAUAAUUAACGAUGAAAAAGUAAAAAAAAAACAUUGCUUUCAGCCCAAAAAAACCUAAAAAAACAAACACCUUAAAUUAAACAAAACAGCACCACCGAUUGUAUUUAGUCUAUUCAUCGGGAGGUUCCGGAAACUCAAUGAUGAAAAACCAGGACUUGGAAGACUUUAAUUUUAACUUCUUUUGCUUUAUUUACUCAGUGACCAAACGUAAUCUUAUGGGAAAUCCUUUAUCUUGCCAAUUUCAAUUAGCUUUUCCUACUUACAAUACUCAUUGUUGGUCUGUCAAAAUUCAGUGUCAGAACCGGGUCCAGAAGACACAAGCAAGAACACGGUGGAAAUCAUAUUCCAAUCGAACUGGCUAAAGAAACAGGCCCCAGUCAUUCUCAAAGUCCACAACACCCCCAAAACCAUAUCCAAAUUUGAAGAAUACAGAGACUCCAAUAAAACCAAAGCCACCAAGCUCCCAAAGAAACACCCACGCUGCGUUGCAGACGGCAACGAACGCCUCCGCUUCCACUGCACCACUUUCGUCUGCUCCAUCGGCCUCAACGGUUCCUCCAAUCUCUGCAACUCAAUUCCAAGCUGCAAUAUCUGCAGUAUCAUCAAGAACGGUUUCAAGGUCGCCGGAGGGGUUCCCGGAAAAAGGAUUCUGACCACAGCCACCAGUGGAAAAGCCCGUGACAGUGCUAGAAUGUCGUCGCCGGAUGGUAAGGUGAAGAGGGCCAUGCUGGUUUGCCGAGUAACAUCUCACGUUGACUUCUCCAGAUCCAAUGGCUUGAGUGCAGGUAUUGUGUCGUGUGUCCUUCUGUUUGCUUGCUGAGAAAGUGAGGGAGAAAAAGGGAGGGAAUUUGAAUGUAACAUUGUGCUUUUGGUGUUUUUCGCUUUCUGAAAAAACAAGCCAUUUUUAUUUACUUCUUCAAAUCUGUUGAGUGAAUUUUUUUCUGCUGUUUUCUCUACAACCAAACUGAGAAAAAACAGAGUUGUGGGCGGGCAGAUUUGGUGCACUGAAGCUUUUCUUAUCUCUUUCAUCCAUGUUUUCGGACUUUCAAUUACACUGGGCUCCCGUCUCAUCAGCCGUUUUUAAAUCAUUGUUGCGAUAAUGAAUUUCCAGUCUGUGUUCUUGAAAAUUUAGGGAGAAUUUUUAAUCAGUUUUUGGCUAAUGCUUGUUUGGUUGCUGAGAAAACAAUAAGGGGGAAAGGUCAAAAUUUUCUUCCUUUCUUCCGCUCUCUGUGAUCAAACUAAGCUUCGUUCUCAUUGUAGUAAUUCAAACACCUCAUGUUCUUUGCAGUCGGAAAUUACUACCAACAGGAAAUGGGUGGUGCUACUUGCAUUCAAGGUAAUUAAUCAUCGCUCUUUUCUACUUCAAUCAAGCUUGGUUUAUUUUGAGUUUUCAUCUUUAUUGUUAUAAUUUGUGGGAUAAAUGAGUUAUUUUCCCCAAAAAUUGUCUGACAACCUGCAAUCCAUAUUCACUUCUAAUCACGUGUCAUUCAAUAGCACAAAACAAACCCACAUAUAUAUGAAGAUUAUGUCAGAAGAUUGAAGUUAAAAAGUCAUAUAUCCAACCAUUUGAAGCCACCAUUUUGUAUGAUCAUUUGAUUUAGAUGAUAUGUUGCGAAGUGCAGAUCUAUGCUACACUAAAGAGUGGAUCCAUAGCCAUUGCUACAUCCACAUUAGAUUCAUUGCUAGAUCUCAGGAUCGGUGACAAAAACUUACUGCUACCAAUAUCCUAAUGGAAAAUUGCGGGUGUAGCUAGUAGACAUCAUUAUCUCUGUAGCUAUCAUGUAUUAAUUGACCUUUUAAUUUCUAUUCAUCUAAUGAUGCUUUAUGGGAUAUGAGAGUUGAUUUGAAUUUUAUUUUAUUUUUUGGUUGAAAUCCUUAUUUGAACGAAAAUGUCAUCACCUUAGAGUCGGAUUUUUUAUAAGGGUACGAUAAUUUUAAACAAUAAUUUCUAAAUUAUCGUAGUAGGAAAAAUAAUUCCAAAUCUACGGUAGUUUUUGCCAGGUAGGAGUGAAGGAUAUUUGUUUUCUUUAUCAACUUGGAAAUCGUCUAUUAAAAAUAUGAUUUCCAAAAAAUUUGGAAGAGAUGAUUUCCAUUUUUCUUUUUGCGGAUAAAUCGAUCAAUAGUGUACACUUAAUGUUUUUAUCACUACUUAAGGAACUUGGAGUUACUGGUACUUACAGUUGGGGUAAUGCUUACCUAGCUUGGCUAUAUCGAGAGAUAUGUCGAGCAUCCCAUAUUGAUGCACAUGAUGUAUUGGGUCAUCUCAUUUUGUUACAGUUAUGGAUAUGGAUGGAGUACUGCCACAACCACUUUUAGGCAUGCGGUAUGUAUUCAACCUUAGUUAUAGUAUAUGUAAAUACAUACAUGCAUAAAUAAACAAUUAUUCAAACUUUUAAUAUAUAUAUUCUUUUUGUAGUUGGAGAGAUGAGUUUUGUACUACUUCGACGUCUAUGCAUGUAUUACUCCAGUAUAGAUAUCUACUUGAUCGACUUAUGCCAGAGUAGGUGAGAAAUUCGUUGUUUUGAAUAAUUUUUUUAAACAAUUUAUAAUCAAAAUAUUAUUAAAUAAUGUGAGUCAUAUUUCAAAUUUAAUUGCAGAUUAUAUGGGAGCCAUAUACCGAUGAUGUCAUCUCUGAACUCCCAAAUUACUAUACUAUUGCUUUUGACUUGUGGUUGACUAUUUCACCCCUUAUCUGUUUUCACAUAGUGGAGUGGCAUAGAUUUGAUCGUUGUAUGAGGCAGUUUGGGCUACUACAACAUAUUCCCGAGCAAUGCGAUACAAAAUUAGGAUUACAUAAAUAUGAUUUGAGGGGUCGACAUGAUUUGGAUUGGAUAAGUAUUCAUCACCACUAUAUUCAAAGGUGGGAGGCUAGGUAUGAUCAUCUUGCUAGAGUUGAGGCAACAUAUACUUCUUACGGGUAUAACCACCCAUAUAAGGUGUGGUAUCGUUUUAUCACUCGCCUUUUUAUGACUCCACAUGGAUCUUCAUGGGAGAUAGUGGUAAUUAUAAUGUCUUUUUAUUUAUUAUUCUAUUUUAUUCUAAUUAGAAAAACAUUUAAUUUUUUAUUUUUAAUUCUUACAGAAUCGCAGUUUCCAACAGAUACAUCUAUGGACUGGUCUAAAUACACUGAAUAUAAGUCAUUGUGAUGAAAUUUAUCAAUUAUGUGCAACCACUUUAAAGGCUAUACACGAGGUUGAUAGGUUGCUUAUUCCCCCUAAUGUCGUUGAUACAUAGAGACAAUCAUCAGAUGAGGAGGUAGUGAUGAGAUAUGGUGGGGUACGAACUAGAGGUGGUAUGGUGCUGACCAGAGGUGAUGGGGUGCGGACCAAAGAUGGUGGGGUACAAACCAGAGGUUUAGAGAUACACGAGGUUGAUAGGUUGUUUAUUCCCCCUAAUGUCGUUGAUACAAAGACACAAUCAUUAGAUGGGGAGGUAGGAAUGAGAGAUGGUGGGGUACGAACUAGAGGUGGUGGGGUGUGGACCAGAGGUGAUAAGGUACGGACCAGAGGUGGAGGUGUUUGAACUAGAGGUGGAGGUGUACAAACACGUGGAUGCCAUAUUUAUGAUGAUCCACACUUCCCUAUUGAUGAUGCAUCGCUAGAUUUUCCAUCAUCAUCGCCUCUACAACAUUUUGUCUUCACUUUUUCAACACCACUUGACCAGUCAUUACCUCAUUCAUCAGUUCCAUUCAUUGAUGAGGGGGUGAUACAAGAAGAUGUUGGGACAUUAUUCAUCCAGGAGCUAUUGCAUUCUUAUAUUGAUGGGCCUUCUUUUCAUAUACUUAUGUCAUCUAGUAUCAAGGUGUCAUUUACUCCAUCUACAACACCACUCAUUGUUUUGUCACUACAAUCAUUAGGACAUCUAUUUAGAGAUGUUAUGGCGACACAAAUGCAAUAUUUUCCUACACCACUUGUUGAACAACAGGGAGAGGCUCAGGUUCAAGAUCAAGGACGUGGACAUGGAAGAGGUCGAGGCCAAGGACGAGGACGAGGAAAUGGAGCAACAUUAGAUGGUCCCUCAAAUCAAUCUGAGUUGGAAAGAUGUCAUCAACGCCCAUAACCAAGAAGGAAACCUCCUUCAUGUGGCACACAUUGAUGACUUUUAUAUAUUUUAUCGAACAUAAAUUGUUAAUACAUGUUUUUUUGUUACUUGUUGGUUUAUUUGUAUUGAUGUUGCAUAUUAACUUUUAUUGGUUGUUAGUUUACUAGUAACGUAUGUUAAUUUAUCGUCUGCUGGUAUUGAAGUUGUCAUGUAGUAAUAUUGAAUUUUAAUAUUUUAGCUCUGUUGACAUUCAUCGUUAUUAUUUUAUUAGUUGUUAUGAUGUUUGUUGGUUUAUUAGUUUAUAUAUAUGGACAAAGUAUUAGUUUUUUUUAUUUAUAAUAGUAGUUGAUUUUUUGUCAUUUAUUAUUUGAAUGUGUUUGAUUGUUUAGUGAUUGAACAUAUUAAUGUAAGUUAUCAAUUGAUAUAUAUACUUUCUUUGUUGAUGGUUCAUAUGAAUAAGGUUAUUGGUUUUUUUGCAUUCACGAUAAUAAUUGAAUUUCUAUCAUAGUUGAUAUUUUAUUAAUUGUUGGGCUAUUGUUGGUUUUUUAACAUUUACAUAAAUAAUGUUAUUGGUUUUUUAUAAUCAUGAUAUUUUAUUUUAAUUUAUUUUUUUAUAAUUAAUUCCUUUUACAGUGAAAUUUGAAGUAAUAUUUUUAAUUUUAAAAUUUAUAUAAUAAAAUUUAUUUUAUAAAUAAUUAUUUAAUAAAUUAAUAACAAAUUUGUUUUUUUAUAAAAUCAUUUUUCACAUAAACAAAAAAGAAAUAGAUAAAUAUUAUUUAUCUUAUAAAUAAAAAACAAUAUCAAACUAAAUUAAUUUUACUAGUUGUAAUUAAUUGAAUUAAUUUAAAGAAAAAUUGAAGAUUAAGAACAAUUAAAAUUAUUUAACUUAUUUUUUUUAUUAUAUUUUAUUGAUUUUACAGUGAAAUUUUAACUAAAAUAUUAAUAUUUUUAAUCUUAAAAUUUAUACAAUAAAAUUAAUUAAAAAAUUAAAACAAAACAAAAUUAUUUAUUUUGUAAAUAAUUAUUUAAUAUAUUAAUAACAAAUUUGUUUUUUUAAACUCAUUUUUUCACGUAAAUUGAUAACAUUUUUUUUUAAUUGCAAAGUGAAAGAAAAAAAUAGAUAAAUAUUAUUUAUCUUAUAUUAAAUUUAGCAAAUAAAAUUAAUUAAUUGUAUAAUAUAUAUUUAUAAUAAUUGUAUGAGUAUAAUUAAUUUUUUAAUUCCAAAUUGGAUUUAUAAUAUAUUGUUAUAUUAAAUUAUAUUAUUUCUUUUUAUAAUAUAUACAUAAUUAAUGGUAUUAAAAUAUAUUAAAAUUUUAAAUUUUGGUGGAAAUCGUAUCUCCAAGAGACGAUUUCCAAUUAUGAAUUUUUUUUUUAAAUCAUUUUUUGAAAAGACUAUUUCUACUUUCUUUUUUCUUUUUUUGAAAAUAGACAAUUUCAUUUUUUUUUUUAAUAGGGAAAUCAUCUCUUCAAAAGACGAUUUCCAAUUCAAUUUUUUGGAAAUCAUCUUUUUAACAAACGAUUUCUGAGUGGUUAUUAUAUAUAUAUUUGUUUUGGUGGAAAUCAUCUUUUAUAUAAUAUUUGUUUUGGUCGAAAUCAAUUAUUAAAUAAUAGAUAAAUAUUAUUUAUCUUCUAUUAAAUUUAGCGAAUAAAAUUAUUUAAUUGUAUAAUAUAUAUUUAUAAUAAUUGUAUGAGUAUAAUUAAUUUUUUAAUUCCAAAUUGGAUUUACAAUAUAUUUUUAUAUUAAAUUGUAUUAUUUCUUUUUAUAAUAUAUACAUAAUUAAUGGUAUUAAAAUAUAUUAAAAUUUUAAAUUUUGGUGGAAAUCGUCUCUUAUUGUGGUUUUUUUAUUUUAUUUUUUUUGGGAAAUCAUCUUUUCAAGAGACGAUUUCCAAUUCAAUUUUUUAGAAAUCGUCUUUUCAACAAACAAUUUCUGAGUGGUUAUUUUAUAUAUAUAUAUAUAUAUAUAUAUGUAUAUUUGUUUCGGUGGAAAUACAAUUUUCAAGUUGAUAAAGAAAACAAAUGUCCUUCCCUCUUACCUGGCAAAACUAACGUAGAUUUGAAAUUAUUUUUCCUACUAUGGUAAUUUAAGAAUUAUUUUUUAAAAUUACCGUACUCUUAUAAAAAAUCCCCUUAGAGUCACUAGUUUGUUGCUAAAGAAGACAAGUCACUUGCACAUAUUUAAAUACUGUGAAAAUUGGAUUUUGUAGUUCUUAGCUUGUUAAUUAUUGAAGCUUCACUGUACUGUAGAUUUAGAGAUACGAAAACGGAUAUAUAUAUAUAUAUAUAUAUGAACAAUUUAUGCAUUAAAAUCUUGUAGUUGGACAAAAUUGCCUUAAUCCUAUCAGUUUAUUAUGCUAAUGAGUGUGGUUCAAAGAGAAGACUUCUUCAAGUGUACAAUAAUAUCGAAAAACACAAAAUCUUUAGAAUUAAUCAAUAUGUAUACCCUCAUAUAGCAAAGUUUCUUAGGCUCAAUAUUCGACUUUUCUUAGGUAUAAGUACUCUUUUUGAAUUUUUUUUUCUUUAUACAUGAUUUUGAUAUGUAAUUGUAGUUUGAAUGGUCGUGUUGAUAGUUUUUUCAUGUUAUUAACUUGUUUUUUGAAUAAUCCUCCAAUAUAGUAAUUACUUAGAAAUAUAAAAUUGGUGAUCAAUUAUGAUCUUGUUUGGGAUAACUUUCUAUUUUUUUACUUCAACUUAAAGUUUAAGUUGAAGGUAAAGUCAUAAUUUGUAAAGGAUAAUAUUGAUAGUGUAAACAUUUUAUUUAAUAGAAAAAACUUAUUGCAUAAACCAAAAUAAAGUCUCUACAAAAAGUAAUAUUUUUUUACUUUCAUAUUAAACCCCUUUUUAAGUGGUAAGCAAUUUGAACAAAGUUAUCCAUAAUAGGUAUAAAAGUUCUUAGUAAGCUUAAAGAAAAACAAAACUUUUGUUUCUUAGAACUCGUGAUUUACAUAAUUAAGAAUUUGUGUCAAAUUGUUUUAAAAAAUACAGGUAGUUUCUUCAGAACUGUUUUUUAAAACAGUUCUUUCUAGGACAAAAGUCCAUUUGGGAACUUUGGAAGAUUUUGUUUUCUUAAAAGUAACUUUUUAUUUGUAGUGUUUUAUUUUUCAUCAUUUUUCACAUUUGCAUAGUUAUUUUUUAAAAUAGCCCCUAGAAAAUAAUUGAAAACAAUUAAGAUUUGUUUUGAAAAGAUACUUUGUUUUCUUAACAAUUAUUCAAAAAAAUUGUUUCUUGUUAAAAAAUUACCAAACAUGUUUUUUACUAUGGAAAAAUAGAAAACUGUUUUUCAAAAUCAUUCCUAAACAAGUUUUAAUUUUCUAUAUAAAUUCCUGGUUUUUCAGAAUUUGACUUAUAAAAAUCAUCAUUUGCUACAAACUAAAAAUGCCUUUUUCUUUCAAUGGAAGCAAGUUGACAUUGAACUUCAAGAAGAUUUACCCUUGAAAAAAGCUCAUACCAUAGGAGAGACCUUGCAGAUAAAGAUUAAAAAGCUUCCUAAAGUUAAGUGGAUGUUUGUUCAUCUGAUUUCGAAUGUGAUAACAAUCUCUGAGUAGGCUAUCUAAUAAUCAAGCUUUUUUUUUGGAUUCCUUGUAUUAAAAAGUACGAUGAGCUCAAAUAUUGAAAACUUAACUUUUAGAAAAAUUAGUAAUUCAACACCUUGGUUGUUAUAGAUGUUGACAUUUUCUUUUCCUAUUAUGAGUGGACAUUCAUCACUAUAUUUGUGUAAUAUGUAAGGGAUAUAGACUUAUAUAUAUAUUAUUUAAGUUUAUAUCAAUUGAUAAAUAGAUAAGUCAAUGGAUAAGGCAUCCAAGCACUACAAAGAAAAAAUCAAUUUGGACUUAUAUUAUCUUGAUAAAUAGCAAUAUAUGUCAAUGUUGUGUAUUAAAAUGAGCAAUUAUGACAGAAUGAAUUAUAAUGAUGCAACCUUGACAAACAAUUUAUAAGUUACUAUAUAGUUGAUGUAUUCAUAUAUAUAUAUAUAUAUACUAAAUUUUUAUGUUAUUUAUAAUGAUAUAUAACCUAUAGAAAAUUGGUAUAAGUUUAUAUAUAGUUAAUAUAUUCAUAUAUGAAGGCUAUACUUGACAACAUACCAUUUUUUAAAGUCUAUCAAGAUUGAUUUUAGCAUAUAUUGAAAAUUUUGCUUUUAAUUUUUUUUUUUUCAAUUUUCACCAUUGAAAAUUUUGUGAAAAGGAGAUUAAUUGUUUAUAAAAAUUUAUUGGAUUCUAUAUUAAUCCUUAAUGUUAAUGUUAAUAUCCCUUAUAGGAUUAGGUUCUUAUUCUUGUAUUCUUUUAUGAUCUAAAUUAGGGUUUGAUUAAAGAAUAAAAUGUAGCAUGAAUCGAGGUUUUAUUAAAAGAUAUAAUAUUGCUUCUUCUUUUAAGAGUUCUAUUUAUUUUUUUACAACUUUAGUACUUUCAAAAAUGUUUUUAUGAUAUUUUAAACAACUUUGGUGCUUUAAAAACAUCGUCCUUAUUUGAGGUAAUUUUGGUGCUUCUUAUAAGCAUGCAUACACAAAAUUAAUAUUUAGGAUAAAAGCUUGUUGCUUAUAAUAACAAAAUUUAUUAUCUUCAAAUGAGACCAUUAAAAAUACGUAUUUAUUUUGUUUUUUUAUUAAAAUUUAAUUGUCUUUUUAUAAAAUUGCUUUUGAUAGAAAUGAUACUAAUAGAGUCAUUAUUGUUUUUUUAAAAAAAAUACUAAAAUAACUAAAAGCAUUUUUCACCUUUUAAUUUAUAUGAGUAAAUCAUAAUAUUAAAAGUUAUUUGAAAAAUAAUCAAUUUUUUUUUUAACAUAAAUGUUUUUUACAAUUUCAGGUAUUUACAUAUAAUUUUUUUUUAAAGGUUACUUUUACCAUAAAAAGAUGAGAACAUUUUUAUCAAAAUAAGGUAAAAAAAAUGAAAGGUUAGACCUUGUUGGAUAAUGUUUUGGAAAAAGCCUCUGAAAAAUAGUUUUUAAAAUUGUUUUAUGAUAUUUUAUAAAACAAAAAUUUGUUUGGAAACCUAAAAUGGUUUUAACCUAUUUUUAAUAUUAUUAAAUAUGUUUUAAAAAUAAUUUUUAUCUUCACAACUUUAUUUUUAAUCAUUAUAUAUAUUUAUAUAAUUAUUUUUUAAAAUAAAUAUAAAAAAACAAGUUAAAACAAUUAAAAGAUGUUAUUUGAAAACAAUAUAUUUUAUAUUAAGAACACAAAAUAGAAAACAAUUUCUUGUUACCAAAACGUAUUUUCUAAUUUUUUUUUACUUUAGAAAACAAAAAAAACUGUUGUUGAUCAAAUAAGUUACCAAAAACUGUUACAAAAAUUUGGUUUUCAACUAUUCUUUUAAUCAAAUAAGUUAAUUUUAUAUUGGGUUUCUGCUGUGGUCCAUGGGUGUCUAGCCCAGAAUUGUAUUUGAUGUGGCCCGUGGUUGUGUUUGAGCCACACACACUGACAAUGAUUCCUUUCAAACCGAAAAAGUGUCAACGUGAUAUAAGGUAAUGUUUUUUUAUUGCUAACAAUAGACUAUUAGUAGAGCAUAGAGCUGCAGGGUGUCCAAAUUUGAGAGAGGAAGAGGAGGAACCCCUUGGGAGUCCCAAGAGCUACUUACUAGCUCCAUCAUGCACAUGGCUUAAGGUUUUAGUUGAAAUUUUAACAGUAGCACCCACCUCUACUCCUCUUUUAGCUCCAAAAUUAUUUCCAAAUUUUUCUUUGCCUCUCUCUUCUCUGUCAUAUGAGCUUUGCUGACCCUUUAAUGAUGCAUGGGGUGAUGUCAAAACAACAAGACCACAAUGAGUAUUUCAAUGAAAAUGCGUUGAUGAUGAUCUUCUUAAUCCUGAAUUCUGAUAUGAUAAAUGACAGAUUUAGUGGACAGAAGAAACACUAGUACUACUUAAAUAAAGAAUUCAGUGUAGCAUUACAUUUUGUAUUGAGCAAUUUGAGAAUUCAUCAUAACCACCAUCCCAACAAAGUAAAACCAAAGGAAGUUUCCCACAGAACUGCAUCCACUUUGAAGUUUGAAAAGAAGUCUUACUGUGGUAUAAGUUAUAUAACAAGUGAUCAUUGUGGGCUGUGGAAAAUCCCAAAAGAUAGGUUAAAAGCAAUCACCAUUGGUGCCUAUGUGUUUGUGCUUCUCAGUACAUAUCAAUGAAUCAGUUUCGCUCUCAAUUUCAAGUCAAUAUUGGGAUGUAGUGAUUCAUGAUAACCUGGGUUUUGUCAUAGCACUGAAUCAUGAAUUCAUUUCUUGUUAAUUGUAUUGGGACUUGGAAAGAGAUUCCCAUCAUUCCCUUGGUUCUUGGAGAUUCUUCUCUAAUCCUCCAUUUCCUAUAAUUAAUUACAGAAAAGGAGAAGUCAAGGGAGACAAACUUCGAAUCUUUUUAGAAAGAUGGUGGGGAAGGGUGAAAGAAAGAAAAGUAACCAGACCAGGAGGGUUUCUGGGAAGACUGGGAAGGCCACCACCAACCCACUCAGCCUCAACCACGUCUGGUACAAUGUGGAAAAGAAUUACUAAAAAAAAGUGGCACAUGGCAUCGUAUGAUUUCAACCAAUGGCUUGUAAUCAUGGACCCCCACCCUUGGAGGCGGCCGCAGCCGCCUUCACCAGCACCACCGCCACCAGCACCACCACCAUAGAGUUGGGUGAACGUGACAUUCACUCACAUUAACAUCAUUGCGGAUCUCUAUCUGAUGAUCUUAUAAAGACGAAUCUUUUUAAUAAAAUCAUCUCACACGUGCCUCACACUUUUAAUUUUUACUCCUGAUAUUAUUUUAAGAUGGAGGUGGAUGAAUAGGGAACUAGUCCCUUUUACCGUUUGGGAAAUUGCAUGCCAUGGCAAAUUGGCAAUGGUGCACUUCUCCACCAUCAAUAUUGGAGGGUAGGGGGCUAUCGAUUAAAAAGGAUGGUCACUAGACGCCAAACCCAAAUAUGGAAACUGUUUAGAUUUCUAACAAAAGGGUCCCUACCCCACAAAGAGAGGUCACCUUAUUGGUAGUUGUGGUCCUAACCCUAAGCCCCCGCCAUCUGAUCACUUCAUCAAAGGCCUAUCACCCAUAACUUUGUGUCAGAUCAGAUAGGAGAGGACCUUCUACAACUUGGGUUGGGUGGUCCAGGCAGUUCACACUUGUCUCUUAUCAGUUGAGAUCAGGGAGGAGCACUUUGGGUGCAGGUGAUGAGAGUACAUGUGGUCCAGUGUAUGCAAAUCCAUCUAAGAGUAGCUUCAAUUAUUUAACUAGAAAAGUUCAACAGCAACAAGUGAAUAAUCUUUGAGGAGACAAGGAUAAAGCCAUUGUUUAAAUUCCUGCUGUUUUGCAUUGAGAAGUAGAGAAAGUUACAUAGUGGAGGAGGGGACUCGUAUAUUUGAAUUCCAAAUACAUACAUAUGGAGUCCCGCCUUCCUUCUGAGACAGUAAAAAAAAAAAAGCAACAUGAAACUACGGUACAACAACAAUGACAAUAACAGUAACAGUGACAUCCCUUUAGGCUUGUUAUGAACAUCAACAAGAAUUGAAGUCCUGAUGAGAUCUUCCCUUGUUAUAGAAAUGCUUAUUAACUGCAAUUCUUGUAAAUCAG